rnacentral:lncRNA from 1 species
AUAGCAAUGGUGGAGGACCACGGAGUUUGCCUGCGGUAUACAUAGGAGGGAAGUUUGUGGGAGGCGUUGAUGAAGUUUUAAUGGCUCAUGCUAAGUGUGAAUUAGUUCCUAUGCUUAAGGCAGCUGGAGCCAUAUGACUUUGAAUUCUAAAUUAAUAAUAAUAUAUAGAGGAGGAGGAACUAGGAUAUCUCCUUUUCUUGUUUUCUUUUAUGUAAUUUGCAGUAGUAACUAGUCAUCACCAUCAUUAUUUAGGAACUCCUACCUCUUUCAUGAAAAGAUGGUUGUGCAAAUGUACCUAUGUGGUGGUGUAGUGGACAUGGAAUUUAUGAAAUAAAUAAGACUUUUAAAACAUAGAUAUACUCAAAACAAGUUAUAAAUAUUUAUGUGAUCAUAAAUCAUUCCAUCAAGAACAAAAUAAAAAGUUUAAAAUCAAUAGUUUCUAAAAGGAAGGAGAGGAUUGAUAUUUUAGGUCUCUUGCAAUUUUUUGAAGUUUUUAUGUUAUUUUUACAACAGAUUUUUCAUUUUGUGCAUGAUAAGAGAUCUAAAAAGGUCAUGAUGGAGAAAUUAAUACUAUUAAUUAGAUUACACAUGGAGAGGAACAUAACCCAAAGUGUUUGUACUCAAUAACCCUAAGAAGUAUGAUCAGGGUUUAGGUUCUCUUGAUUUUGUGUUAGUACUCAAUAUUUCUAGCAAAGUGUUUUCAUAUAAGAUAGUAACAUUUUUAGUCAUCCUUCAGAUAACAUCUCCUGUAGAUUUCUUUCCCUUAUAGUUAAGUUGAUGAUUUACUAAUUAAAUUAUUUGUGCUUUGCAGUACUUACUGAUUUAAUUUGCUCAUUUUUUGCUUUCAGUAUUUUAAGGAUCAAAUUUUCAGGUUAAUAAUGUAAAUCAUUCAAAAAUAUUCUAACCAGAGAUAACGUUAGCUAGUGCAUUCUUUUAUAUGAAUAUCAAUUCUCUUCUUUUGAAAUCAGAUUCGAUAUUUCCCAUGUAUAAUUAGUUGAAACCAACUACGUUACUGAAGACGAUGCGUCAAUGUGAAAAUUAGUACUCCCUCCAUCCCAUUUUACUCGUCUCAAUUUGACAUUGCACAUUAAUUAAGAAAAAUAAUUAAUAACAUAGCUACUUUACCAUAGUUCCCUUAUUGAUGUUUACAUUUUAAUUUGGAGAAAAAACAAUUAAUACUAAGGGUAAAAAAAGAAAAAAAAAUUUGUCUUGUCUUGAUUAAUGAAAAAUAUCAAGUAAAAUGAGAAAUAUAAUUAGGAAAUUUGGAACGAGUAAAAUGAAACGGAGGGAGUAGUUAGUACAUUAAUUAACUAUUUGACUGUCAACAGUAAAUUACAAACACCAAUUAAUGACACUUGAUCACAUGAUGACCUAUAUCAUUUAAUUGAUCGUUAGCCAAAGUAACUAUAUUUGAAACUGUGAAAGAAUACAGGAAUACCACAUUCAAUUGCAUUUAUAUCGUAGUAAAAGCUCAUGACAAUACCCGUGGAAUGAGAAAAAACUACUUUGGAUAGAUGAUAUAAUGAAUGACGUAACAUUUGUUAUUCCGGAUAUCAAAAUCUGUAUGUUUCAACCCAAAGUUCUAUACUAAGUUCAAGAACUACAAUGAUGUUACAACAACUUCAAACACAAGUCCAAAUAAAUAAUCAAAUGAACUAUCAAAAUGAAAUGUUUAUCAACUUUAAGAGAGAAGAUGAAGUAGAAAAUUGUAGAAUCAAAUCCGUCGAAUGCACAGUGUGUCCUUAAGGAAUUUAUUCCCCUCAAGCCCGAGGUUCUGGAAUCUUUCCUUCCAGGAUAAAAUGAUUUCUUUCUAAAAAUAGCGGUACGUCAAAUUUUUAGAAACUUCAAAUACAGUCAAUGAUUUGAUGAUCACACGAGAGUUUUUAGAAGAAGAAGAAGAAGAAGAAGAAGAAGAUUGUUUUUCAACUCAAAAAAUUGUCUUUACGUAAGAAAAAAUUCAGGUAUUUAUAGCUAUCAAUGUGUUGCUUGCUUUAUGAAGAGAAGCAAUGGUUUAGAAAGGUACAACUCUUCAGAAAAGGUGCAAUUCUUCGAAAAAGUCACAACCUAUUGGAAAGGUCAUAACCAUACAGUCCGAAAAGGUGUCUAUUCAAGUUGCACCUAUUCAUUUUUCAUUCACACCUCUUAAAAAUCCAACAACAUUAAAAAAAAUUGAUACUCCCCCAUUCAGUUUUAUAUGUUAUUAUUUCGCUUCUCGGGGUCAAACUUCAUGAGCUUUGACUAAUAUUUUAAAAUAAUUUUUUCAUCAUAGUAAUAUUAAUAUGAGAAGAAUUUCAACUUAUAGUAUUUUUGUAUAGUUCUCGACCAUCUAAAUUUUAAUUUUAAAAUAUUAUAUAUAUACCAUAAAAUGUUGAUCAAAGUUCAUAGAGAUUGACCUCAAAAACUGAAAUAGUAACAAGAAAAAGUGAACGGGCAGAGUAUAAUAAAUGAACACCCCACUAAAAUACUCUCUCAUAACAUUUGUCAAUGUUUUAAGUUUAAGAGUUAAACUACAUUAUUGUUGACUAUAUUUUAAGAUAUAUAUUUUUCUCCAUGUGAAUGUGAUAAAAAACCGCAACUUAAUUAUUAGAAUAUUUCCGUGUAGCUUUUUAAUAUUUAUAAAUAUAAGAUAAAAUAUUGACUCAAUUAAAUUCAUUUAUUUCAAAGAUUAAUCAAAUUCAGUGUUGACCAGAUUAGUCAAAUUCAAUUGCGAUCCAAUAUUGUUUCUUCAUUUCUCGUAUGCUUUGACGUGCAGACUCGAAGUGGUAAAAGAUCCAUUACAAAUGAAACCAUAACAAUAUAAUUAAUUAUCUUUGUACAUAAAGAUAUCAAGUAUUUUCUAUGUCUCAAUUUAUAUGAGCUGCUUUUCUUGUUAUUUAGUUCAAAAAAGAUGAUAUAUUUCUAUAUUUAGUAACAAUUUAACUUUUAAAUACCUACUUUACCUUAAAUGAAAUGAUUUACGAUCACACAAAUGUUUGUAUUAGACCACAAGUUUUUUAAAAAAAAAAAUCAUAAACUUCGUGUCAAAUUUAAACUAACUCGUAUAAAUUGGGACAGAAAAAGUAGCUUAAUUCAUAAAAUUAAAAUUGUGUCGCAAACCUCUCAAAUUUUUUUUUUAUUACAAGUGUUGAAGUAGUAAAAGGCCAUUUAUAAAUUAAAUUUUUAGUGUGAACACGUGACUUCAGUAACUAUUUAAUUCUACCAAGUAAAGAGUGUAUUACUAACUCAUUCUUGAAAGAUACUUUGAAAAAGAUGUAAAGCAUACUUUCUUGAUUAAGUAAUUCUGGAAGAACAUAUAUCGUUAUUGGUUGGUUGACAGAAGAACGAAAUAAAUAGGAUAUCUCAUGGAACUAUUUUAUCUCACUUGCUAUAUAGGAUAGUAAUCCUCUUCCAUCAUUAGCUAAUACCUCAUACCUAAUAUAUAUGAUAAAGCUAAUCUCAAAUUUUUUUCAUGAAUUUAUUAUGGGGAAAAUGUGCAAAAAAUACAUGUACUUAGCGAAAUUUGUAGUUACGCACUUUGAAAUUUGAGGGAUCCUAUGAACCGCCUAGACUAUUUUUUUUACCGUAUUUAACUGGCAUAUAUUUGCCUCUUGUCAAACAUUUUUUUUCUCACGCGCUCAAUGAGCGUCAAAUACACGCAGUAGUCCAAGUUCCAAAUAUAUACAUGUUAAAUAUGGUAAAAAAAAUAGUCUAGGGGGGUCAUAGGACCCCCGCAAAGUUCAGGACGCGUGAUUGCAAAUUUUGACAAAGUAUAGGCAUUUUUCGCACCCUUUUCCCAGUUAUUAUACUUAACCAAUCUAUCAAAUAACCUCUUGAUGACCUAAUUGACUAUGUAAAACAAUACUUAGAACAAAAAAAAAAACACCAUUUAUUUAGUAAACUAAGGGAAUAUAGAUGAAAAUAGUCAAAUGAAGAAAACAUGUAGUCAAAUAAAAUCCAAAAAUAGUUCAUAAUUAGAUUACAUGGAUCCAAAUAGCAGUUGUGAUAGUACUGGUACUACGUUGACAAAAGUUGACGUUAGCCUUUCACUUGUAACAACCUAUAUAUUCCAUUGUAUUGUGUCUCCACUUACUCACACACACAUACUAUCCCCACUCACCACCACCCACCCAUUGACACCAUGCAUCGAACAAGUGCCGGCAGAUUCUCUGUUACACCCACAGCAGGCAGACAAAUAGUGAUGAAUCAAGGACGCCUCCAGGGCAUCCAAGUAAUCAUAGAAAAGGAAAGGCGAUAACAGGUUUCGACAAGCUAAUAGCUGAAAAUGUGAUACUCAUUGUAUCGACGAGCGAGUGUUGCAUGUGUGCCUCAGUGAAGAGCUUAUUGGUGUCGUUGGGGGUUAACCCCGUGAUUUUUAAGGUGGAUGAAGAGGAUAAAACCUCUGUGUUGAUAAAACUAAUAAAGAUGAAUGAAGUUGCCAGCAGUGAUACUAGAGAACCAUGGGAGUUGCCAACAGUGUAUAUAAGAGGAAAGGACUUAGAAGGUGUUGAUAAAGUAAUGGAGAGUCAUGUAAAUAUUGAAUUAGUCCCCAUGCUUAGAGAAGCUAGAGCGUUAUGGCUUUGAAUUAACCUAAAUAGUUCUUUUUUUUCUUGUUUUAGUUUCCUUUUUUUAUAUGGUAUAAUUUGCAGUUAAAGUAUCCAGUUAGUUAUGUUGUGAUAUUAAAUGUGAAAGUUAUGAAUAAAAUAAAACUCUUGAAACAGUAAUUCUAAAUCAUUUCCAAACAAAAUGAAAUGUUUGAUCAAGUGAACUACAAUUUCUAAAAAAGGAAAUGACACUUUUGCUUGUUCAAUUCAGAAAACCUAAAUAUAUCAGUUGGUUUUCAAUUUACUCCUAUUAUUUACUAUAAUCAUUUCUCAAUUCAAAUGAAACAGUGAUUCUAAAUUAUUCCCAAACCAAAUAAAAUGUUUCAAGUGAAGUAUGGUUUCUAAAAGAGGAAUUAUGGCAUACUUUUUUCACUUGCUAUAAUAAAAAUAAAAGUUGACUUUGCUUAUUCAAUUCAGAAAAUCUAAGAGAUAAUUUAUCAAUGUGUUUUCAAUUUACUCUUAUUGUUUACUAUAAUCAUUUCCUAAAAUAGUAAAUUAUUAUAUUCAAAAUGUGAUUUAUUAAAAUUAUGAUUCUAUAUUAUUUUUACUCCUAUUAUAUUCUAUUUGUUGUUCCUUAAGGCCUGCCAAGUUAAUAUGGAACAAAUUGUAACACCCCGCAUUUUUGAACUAGAAAUCAAACUGUUGUUCCUAUGUAUGUAAGUUCUAAUAGAAAUUAUUUCCAAGUGAGAAUAAAUAUCAUGAUCUAUAUCCUUGUGUGUGAAGUACUUUUGAGGUGAAAAAUAUUCAUAGGAAGCACUUAGAGAAAAGUUGAGCUAAGAACCUUUGAUUCGGCUAAAUUUUUGUUUUCGAUGUUACAGGGGUCUACUUUAAACGUGUAUAAAUUUUGAUACACAUAGAAUUUUGAAGAUAAAUACCCAUAAAAAUAUAGAUAAUUGGCUUAAAGAGAGUUAGAUGGUUGACCGAAGAAAGUAUGAGUUGAAAGACUCAAUACUAGAAACCGUGAUUUACUGACACGAGUUUAUGGUACCAUGUUGUGUGGCCGUAUGUACCUUGAUUUAUGUCAUCCCAAUUUGGGACUAUGGUUAGGAUCCAUACUUUGUGGUCUUUUGCACUACCAUGACAUAUUGAUUUGAUUGGGGAUCAUGGCAUCAUGCUGUAUGAUCUUAUGUAUCUCCCCUUACUGAUAUUCCUAUCCUUGCGACAAACUUGGAUUGGAGGCUUGGCCGCUGAGUCAAGGAUGGAUUCCAUAUAGCCCGUGAAAUUACAGAUUGUAAGGUUUACCAUCUAAUUCAGAAGUAACAUAAAGAGUGGUUCAUGAUUACAACGAAGUCUUUCAAAGUAUUUAAAGUAUGCCUAUGUGUUUUUGUUAUAUCAUAUGUAAACUAUUUUUAUGAAUUGAUCUCACUUAUGUUAUAUAAAAGCACGUUAUUUUGGAUUGCUCUGCGUACCAGUAUAUUUGUAUUGACCCCCUAUAUUUCAUGAUCUGAGACAUAGUCCCGGAUUCUCGCUAAGCCGUAGAUUGAUCUGUCAAAAGUUUACAGUUGGUGAGCCUCCCUUGUUUUGGAAGGCCAUGUAUAUGGAAAAAUGUUUUUUAAUUUCAGUUCAUGGUCCGAUGGGGAGCCUUGUCCCAGUUUUUAGAUAGAUGUUGAUUUUCAGUUAGUAGAGAUUUAGUAAACUGGUGUCGUGUGUUUUUAAUUUUAAGAACUUUAUUUCGUAUGCAUCAAAUGAGUGAUAAGAUUGACCAUGUUUUCGUAUGUUAAUAUUAUGCAUUUCUUUACAUUGUAUGAACAUUAUGUAUGAUUAUCAGAUAGAAAAGGGCGUUCGGACCUUCAUGGUUUGGGAUGUUUAUCAUGGCCAGGGUCUCAAUUCGGGUCAUGAAAAACUUGGUAUCAGAGCAUGGUUCAUGAUACCAAGGUUUCUUUAAAAUUACGUUGGGUAGAGUCCUGUUUAUGGGUAUGUAGCGCACCACACUUAUAAGUAGUAGGCUACAAGUCAUUUAGGAAAGUUUUCUUCUCUUCAUGUUCAAGUUUGUGCUAUGGAACCAGAAUGUUCCUAUUUCAUACUCUAGUUCAUGAUAAGGCAUCGUCCAUAUGAAAGUAAGGUCCCCCAAUUCUUUCCUUACUCUGAUGUUCUUAGAUAUGUCUCAUUGUCGAGGUGACUCAAGUGCCGAAGCUUAGAAUUUGAAUGAUGUAGUCCUUUCUGAUUGACUCAUAAAUGAUUAUGAAAUUGCACAGAGACUUGAGAGAAGUCCAUUAGUGCUUUAAAGUGUAUUUAUUUAAGCUUAUAACUUUAUCUACAUCAAUCGUAUGUUUGAGCCUGAGAUAUGAAGUGUAUUUAGUCCCUUUCAAAAAAAUUCUUGUUGUAGAUGUCUUACUUGAGGUUAGUGAUUUAUGUCAGAAUGUUGGAACAAUAUCUCCACCCGAGUAGCAGUAUGUGUUAAGGUAUCGUACCCUAUUAGUAGUAAGAUAAUCCCGAAGUUAGUGAUAUGAAGUCACAAGGUUAGAAGUCAGGGUGAGGGUGACUUUUACGUAAAUAAAUAGUUGAGUUGUAUAACCCUUGAUUGAGAGGUAGGUUGCCAUUUUAUAGUGAUAGACUGAUGUGGCAGCAAUGUUUGUAGAUUGUAUGGUAGUCUGUGGAGGGAGUGUUUAGAUAUGAUUAGUGCUUAUUCAAAAUAGAAAAGAAACUCAGAAUGGAUAGUUAUGGUAGUUGUAAAAAUCACAUAUAGGUUGUGAAUAGAAAGAGGUAGAUUAGUUAAUAAGUUGUGGGUAGAGACUCAUUGGUUGGAAUGGAAUUUGAAGAUAGUCUAAUUGUAUACAUGGGUAAGUAAAUAUGAUGCGAGAAAGUAGGGUAUGUUAAUAGAUGGUAAUGGGUUAUACUAUAAGAUUAAGAUCGACUGUCUUUAUUAUGUGACUUUAACCCUCUUGGUUAUUGUUUCUCUAGUAGUUGUAAACUAGUACUACAUGUGAGAAGAUAUGUAGUAGAUUUUGAGGUGUAGUAGUAAUGUCGUGGAUAGGAUAAACUUAUGGGCCAUAGUUAAGUGAAAUAUUAGACUUGGGUUGAUAUUUCCAUUCGAUUGAUUAGUAUAGUAUAUGGCAUGCCCCAUGUGAUUGGUGUUGUUAGACAAUAGGCUUGAACCAUAGAUGUGGAGUAUAGUGGUAAGAAUAUUAGAUAAAGAUUGAUGAUGUGUAUUUUGUGGGAAUGAACUUGUAGGCUUGAUGUGAGGUGUGAAAUAGCCUAGGUUGGAAACUUGUGGAAUAAUGAGUGGUCAAUUGUGAUGUAUAUGUAUACAUAAGAACAAGAGUAAAACGAUGAAUUGUGGUUGAAUCAUUAAGUGGAUAAGAGCGGGAGUAUAUAGGAAUAAGUUGAACCUCGAGGUAACGUAUUGUUAGAUAAGGCAUUAGCUGUACGGGUGUAACGCGAACUUAGAUUUCGUUCUUGAAUCUUGUAGUAUGGAGAAGUGUGGGAAGUUGUUUGGUGUUCUUUAGAGUAGAAUUCAAGAGAUAUAGGUAGGCAAUGUGCGCCUUUGGUAUAGGUUUACAAAUUUUGUUAAGUUGUAAGUUGUGUGAUUAGAGGUGUAAUGCUAGUAUUCUAAGGAAUUGAAGAACGAGUGUUAAGUGUUUAGAAUCAUGGGUGUCUAUGCCCAUGAUAAUGGUAGUCGUAAGUCGAUGAAUUUGGGGGUUAGAGGAAGUAAUGAUUAGUGUCCCUGAAGGGGGAUGUCCUAGAAAGGAUUUUGUGUCUUUACAUUAAAACUAUUGAGGGGAUUCUAGCAUCUAUGUGCAUGUUGAUACCCCUAUGUAAUGAGAGUUGUGGGUAUAGAUUUGAUGAGGGGUUAUAUCCUCAAGUUCAGGAGUGUAACUUUGAUCUAAGGGGGAGCUGAUAGAUUAAAGUGGUUCCCAAAUUUUCUUGUGGUGUCAAGUUUCAAGUAAGAGUCAUGAUAAACCUAUUCCUAUUCAAGCAAGCUCCUCCUACGUCAAUUUAAGAGGUCAUUGUACCAAUGUCUUAUGUAUUUAAGUCUUACCUAUGUCUAAGGUUUGAUCACUCUAUGUAACUCAUGUCAUGUCCCGACCUCCAAAGUAGAAGCAAUAAUGUUCCUAGUGAUCCAAGAUUCCAAGUAUCCCAACCCUAUGUUAUAUUGCUCACGAACCCUAAAUCUCUAUCCCAAAUCAUGCUUGGUUCUAAGGAACUAUGUUUUUAUAAGUUAAUAAUUCAUUUAUGUCAAGAUUAGCCAAAAUGAUAAAGUUGUGCGAACUCAUGACUACGUCAACUUUGAAAAAAAUUAGAAGUAAUAGUUUCAAGUAUACAUCCUAGUCUCAAUCAUUGACUUUAUGAAUUCUAAACUUAUGUUAUACGACUCGUGAAAUAAGCGCCCGUGUUCCUCACUGCGGUCUGUCUUAAGAACUCGUGCUAUGUUGAGUUAUGCCAGAGCGACUCUCUACUUAUAAACCAAACACUUGAUAUAUGAAGCAAUUCAUGUCUAUUGAAUCAUAUCUUCACCUCAUGUGCCACCUUGGGUAGAUUAACAGAUAUGGGUUGUAAUUGAGUAGUGUUUGUCCCAUUCAUGAUACUUGUACUCGGGUGAUACAAGAAUAAUCACGAAAAUAGACUUAUGUGGGUGUGCAUUGAAAUCAUCCAAGUGUGUGUGCAAGAUAAGUGCAAUUAAGUUCUUAAUACACACCAAAACAGUCCACUAUUCUACACUAGAGAAGAGCCUAUCUCUUAAGGGUAUAAGGGACAUUUUGUCUUCCAUUUGCAAUAUAAUAUGUAAGGAACAUUCUAGGGUUUCAUGAGUUGGUUUUUGAAUGUUGAAUAUUGUAGAACACACUUGAAACACUCAAGUUCUCUCUCACUAGACACUUGGCCGAAACUAGGUUCAUCAAAAGGGUGGAUUCUCUUUUGUUGUUUGCUUGCUUGGAUUGUGGGGUGCUUAACGGAUUUGGAGUCCCUCUUGUGUCCUAUGUAGAGUGUAGGUGUUUCUACUAACUUCAUUAAUGGUCUUAGUGUUUAAUAUACAUUUUGGUUCUUAGUCAUUAUAGUAGUGUAUGUCUCACUUCCUAUCAUUUACUUUCUUGUAAUCUUGUAAUGUUGAUAUCUUGUAAUUGUGAAUCCAUUUGUGUUGUUGUUGUUAUUCAUAGCGUUGUUUCUCCUCUUGUUCAUCUUAUUGUGUUGUUAAUCUUAGUUUGGAUUGGCUGAUUUGGUGUUCAAAACACCCAUAAAUAUCGUAUUCUUGUGUUGUUCUUGAAUCCAUGUGAGGUCACCAUUUGGUUCUUGGUUCCUAGUGAAUUUUUGGAUUGUUUGGUGUGUGAAUUUAGUGUUCCCUAGUUAGUCUUGUAUCAUUUGGUAUCAAAUCCAUCUUUGAUUUUAUUCUUACAAUACCAAUCUUGGGUUUUCUUGCUAAGAAAAAUAAAGACGUGUUCUUGAGUUUGAGAUCUUGGCCGCGAAGUUGAACUUGUUGUUGUUGUAUCUUGGACGAAUGUUGUGUGUCUAGGUAUAGGAUUUAUUUUUCUUGUGUUGUUGUUUCAAGUGUUAGUAUUCUUGUCCAUUAACACUUUGAGUCGAUCUAGAUUUGAGCUUUAAAAAUUAAUGUUGUUGUGAACAAGGCCAUGGCCGUGUGUCGAAGUUGUUGUUCUUGGACAUGUGAACUUGUUGUUAUAGUCUUGGUUAGACGUUGUUGGUGUUUUUGAUCUUGAUAAAGUUUUUGUUGAGUUCUUGACAUUCAUCACAACCUUCACCCUUGCUAAAACUGAAAUACAACACCAAAAAGAACCUUGGUCGUGUGUUGACACUAAAAUUGGCCGUGGGGUAAAAAUUAUUGUUGUGUUGUUGAUGUGUUCUUGAAGGUUGUUGUGGUGUUCAUCUUGUUCUUCAUCUCAUCUUACAACUUAAGACAACCAAAAGUGUAAUAUAGAUUCAAAAAGGUGAACCUACAAGUCGUAAAGUUGUUUGUGAGAAGACUUGAGGCAUCACUUCCUUGACUUGACAUCUACUUUUCAACCACUUUCCUUGUUUCAAGGGGCCUUGUUUUGUGGGAAUUAUACAAAGUCGGGUUUUACCUUUUGAAAAUUAGACUUAAAGGAGAUUUAAGACAUAUACUUUCCCUCCAAAACCAAUUGUUUCCAUUACAUAGUAACUAAAGUUUAUAAAUCCAACUAGUGACUAAUUGUGGGGCCACGACCAAUGGUAUACUGCCAAGUCACCCAAGUUACUGUUCACACAAAAAUUUUAAGCUCAAAAUUUGAUCUUUUGGUUUUGUUUUGUAGUUUCUUUUGUUGAUUCCAUUACUAACUUACAAGCUAGUACUAGAUUGUAAGUUAGCUUUGAACCCGUUCUUCGUGUCUAUGAUCCUUUGUGUGUCUUAGUCUUUUGAGUCUUUUGAGUGAUUGUAAUACUUGGUCCACCUCUCAACGCCUCACGAAGUACAAGCAAACUUACAACACUUGUGUGAUCAAAAGUGAGAAAUUCGAGAGAUAAAAAAAUAAAGAGAGAGUGUGAGGACCAUUCUUUGAACAACUAACUUGUUUGUUGUUUUGUAGGUAACUUCUUGGCUACAAUGGACAACAAUGCUCUUGGUGCUAUAUUGGCCGGACUUCAAAUGAUCAACCGAAGCAUGGAAAGUAUGCUCACGACUAUGACCUAAAUCUGAAGAGACCUGUCCUCAAUCAAAUGACACAUGUCUACUAUGAAUGAGAGGUUGGAUCGAAUAGAGAGUCGAAGGAACUCUCGUGCUUCUACCCCUCGACUCUAUGUUUCCUCGAGUGGACAUGACCAAAACACUUGCAUCACCAUUUCCCCCGAAACUUUGCCUACAAAAGUCAAACCUCCAAGUUCACUAUAAAAUGCCAUGAGCCAAGUUACCAAUUACCCUCAAAAACCGAGAACAAGAUAGACCACUUCUCCCAUAAGUUGAUCAAGUCUAACAAGAAGGACUUGGAAUCCAAUUCCCUCCCAUACAAGAUCCACAAUCAAAUAUCCACAUUAUCAAAAUAGCCCACACAACUGAAACUCCACUUCACCAAAACCGACAUGUCAACAUAGAGGAGUAUGAAAGAAAAAGGCAUGAAGUAUAUGGAGUCUACGAUGAUGCUUAUAUGAUGGAAGGAGGCUUGAGUCGGAUAAUAUUGAAGCAAAGUCUCAAUAUGGAGAGGAAACUGAGGUUCAAAAUGAAAAUGUUGGCUGAGACUUGUUAAUAUUGAGCUCUCGGGUUCUUUAUGUUUUGCGAACUAUUUUGAGUGAUUUUUUUAAAGCGGCCAAUUGAAUGAAGUGAAGCCGUGAAUUUGUAGGCAAAUUCCUAUCAAGAUGGAGAGGAUGAUACAAGAAUAAUCACAAAAAUGAACUUAUGUGGGUGUGCAUUGAAAUCGUCCAAGUGUGUGUGCAAGAUAAGUGCAAUUAAGUGCUUAAUACACACUAAAACAGUCCACUAUUCUACACUAGAGAAGAGCCUAUCUCUUAAGGGUACAAGGGACAUUUUGUCUUCCAUUUGCAAUUUAAUAUAUAAGGAAUAUUCUAGGGUUUCAUGAGUUGGUUUUUGAAUGUUGAAUAUUGCAUAACACACUUGAAACACUCAAGUUUUCUUUCACUAGAGACUUGGCCGAAACUAGGUUCAUCAAAAGGGUGGAUUCUCUUUUGUUGUUUGCUUGCUUGGAUCAUGGGGUGCUUGACGGAUUUGGAGCCCCUCUUGUGUCCUCCGUAGGGUGUAGGUGUUGCUACUAUCUUCAUUAAGGGUCUUAGUGUUUAAUAUACACUUUGGUUCUUAGACAUUAUAGUAGUGUAUGUCUCACUUCCUAUCAUUUACUUUCUUGUAUUCUUGUAACGUUGGUAUCUUGUUAUUGUGAAGUUGUUUGUGUUGUUAUUUUUAUUCAUAGUGUUGUUGCUCCUCUUGUUCAUCUUAUUGUGUUGCUAAUUUCUCCACUAUAAUAAUAAUAGAGUUACAAUUAUUCUCCGAAUGGCCACACAACACAUGGUAUCAAAGCCUUUGUUAUCUAUCAAGGAUUUUGGGAUGGUGGUAUCACUCAAAAAUACUCUAACCAGAGAUAACUUUAGCUAGUUCAUUCUUUUAUUAUGAAUAUCAAUUCUCUUCUUGUAAAAUCAGGUUCAAUAUUUUUCAUGUAUAAUUGGUUGAUACCAACUACGUUACUGAUUUUAAAAUGCCUCAAGAAAGAAGAUGUGUCAAUGUGAGAACUAGUAGUUAGUAAAUUAAUUAACUAUUUGAUUGCCAACAGUAAAUUACAGAACACCAAUUAAUGACACUUCACAUGAUGACCUAAAUCAUUUAAUCGUUCAUUAGCCAAAGUAACAAUAUUUUAAACUGUGAGAGUAUACAGGAAUACUACAUUUAAAUGCAUUUAUAUCGUAGUAAAAUCUCAUGAAAAUAACCGUGGAACGAGAAAAAGCUAGUUUGGGUAGAUGAUAUAAUGGAUGACGUAACGUUAAAAAAAUGAUACUAUAAUCGAUGAAGAAACCACUAAAAUACUCUCUUAGUCUCAUAUGUAUUUGUCAGUGUUUUAAUUUUAAGAGUCAAACUACAUUAUUAUUGAUCAUCAUUCUAAGAUUAAUAUUUUUCUUCAUAUUGAUGUGAUAAAAAAUAACAACUUAAUUAUUAGAAUAUUUUUCGUAUAGCUUUUUAUUAUUUGUAAAUAUAAGAUAAGAUAUCGAGUCAAUUAGCUUCAUUAGCUUCAAAGAUCAAUCAAAUCCAGUGUUGACCAAAUUAGUCAAAUUCAAUUGCAAUCCAAUAUUGAUUCUUGAUUACUCGUACGUUUUGACUUGCAGGCUCAAAGUGGUAAAACAUCUGUUACAAAUGAAACCAUAACAGGAAAAUUAAUUGUCUUUGUACAUAAAGAUAUCAAUAAGUCCCUCUAUCGCAAUUUAUAUGAGUUGUUUUCCUUUUUAUUUAAUUUGAAAAAGAAUGAUACUAUAUUUUUAUAUUUAGUAACUAUUUAAUUUUAAAAUAUUUAUUUUAUCCCUAAUGAAAUGAUUUACAUUCACACAAACAUUAGUAAAUUUAUCUGCGCAUCGUGCAGAUUAAAUAGAUUUUUGAGUGUUGAAAUUUUCUUAAAAGAUUUAUUUAGUUUUCAAUUAUUCAAAUUCUAAUCAAUUUUUUUUUGGUAGAACGGGGGGUGCAUUAAAUUAAUCAAAACAUACUAUAAAGUCAUUUACAAUCAUCCUGAUAUUUAAUCAGGAUUCAAAAAAGAGUAGGAAUGACCUAGCUAGUUAGAGUCAUUUGUACAACAACUAAUCCUCCUUUCAAUAAAAGUUUCGAGAUGUCUGCCCAAACUGCCUCUUUUGCACACAUCGGUGGAACUUUAAAAAGUGUGGUUUCGUCACAGCUGCAUAACCUUGCCACCUCACUUUCUAAUGCACCAGCUACUCCAUCAUGCUCCCUAUAGCAGUCGCUUACCUCUGGUUCCCUAGUGUUCUUAGCCUUGACCUGCAAUCCAAAAUUAAAGCAUCAUAAUGGAGGUUCCCCUUAGUAAGCAUGAUGAUGAUUUCCACGGAGCCAAUAUUGAUUUCAAUUGGUAGGAAAUUUUUCUGUUCUACCAUCUUAAGUCCUUCAAUGAGUUCCAUUAGCUCCAUCAUGUUGUUGGUAGCUUUAUGGAAACUUUUGUAAAAACCCAUCACCCAUCCCCCAUUAUGCAUUCUGACUACUCCACUAAUUCCCUCUUUUCCUAGGUUACCCAGGCAUGAGCCAUCAGUAUUAAGUUUGAAACUAUUGAUUUUUGGAGGGUUCCAUUUAAUAUUAAUAGUCAGGCUAUGUUGAGAGUAUUCAUCCCUUUUGGUAAGGUGUUUAUACUUCACCGCUUGGGAGUAGGCAUUGUUGAAAUUUUGGGGUUCCUUUUUAUUAUUGAAAGUGUUGUUGUUCCUAGCAUUCCAAAUGACCCAUAAGGAAAAGGGUAUAAUGUCAUGCCAGUUGAGUAGGCGAUCAAACUGGGAGUUUUGGAAAGUUUUCCAUAUAGAGUGCUAGUUUGAGGGAAGAAGCUUGUUAGCAAUGGCUUUAUUUGAUCAGAAGGGUCUAGAGAGAGCAGUUUCCUAGAAGUUUUGAAGGAUAGGCACUCAAAGAAUAUGUGAGUACUAUCUUCCAAAUGAUGAUUACAAAGGGCACAAUUAGAAUUUGGCAUAAUACAUCUUUUGAAAGGUCAAGGUUUGUGGGGAGUCUGUCAUGUUGGCCAAACUAGAGAAAGGUUUUGAUUUUUUAUGGUAUUCUGGCUUUCCUAAUCCACUUAAAAGGGGUGGAUGAGUUACUAUUACAGUACUUAGCAAUAUGAUUAUAGGCACUCCUAUUGGUGAACAGCCCAUUCCCAGUGAUGUUCCAUAUUAGUUCAUCUUUGGUGGCCUUGGAUCUGGGAAUGAAGGUGUUCUUCAAGGUCUGAAUGAUAUCCUCAAGAAUUAGGUUGUUGAGGUCUCAAGUUCCAUUUUGCUAGAUAACAAAAAUCUUGGUUUCCAGAGCAUGAAGUGGGAGAGGGGCUUGAAUGAUCGAGAGUAGGGGGUCACAAUGGUGGAUCCACUUUUCCUUCUAAAAGCUGACCUUAUUACCUUUAGUAACAAUCUAGGAGGAAGCAGUUUUGCAAAUCUCCUAGCCCUUAAAGAUGUUCUUCCAAAUUCUAGAGUUGUUGGUUUUGCAAAUCAUACCAUGAGGGCUAUAUUUAAUUUUUAGGAUCUUAGCCCAGAUGGAAUUGGGGUGCUUGCAAAUCCUCCAAGCUAAUCUAGUCAGCAUAGUGAUGUUUCUAAUGGAGGCUUCCUGGAGACCCCAUCCCCCUUUCUCUUUUGUGUUGGUCAGGGUUUGCCAAUUAGAAGGUGGAUUUUUCUUUUAUUAGGGGUGGUGCCCUAGAUAAAGUUCCUUUGAAUUCUGUCAAUCAUCUUAUGGAUUUUUGUGGGGAGUAAGAUGUAUUACAUGAAAUAUGUGGGAAUGCUAUCUAACGAGGAUUUUAUAAGGGUGGUUCUGCCAGCCAUAUUGAGAAAUUUGAUUUUCCAACCAGCAAGUUAGGCAUUGAGAUUAUUCAGGAUGAAUUGAUAAUCUCUAUUACAAGGUUUUUAAUGAAAAAUGGGAAAGCCUAGGUACUUACUAAAAUUCUUUUUGGCCUGGAUACCAAGAAUGCAAGCAAGUCUAGUUUUGUCCUCUUGGGAGCAAUUAUUUGAGAAGAUGACUUUGGAUUUAUGAGUUUUUAUUUUUUGACUAGAGUAAAAGGUGAAGCUAUUAAGGGUAUCCCUAAUACUUACACAGUUUUUUUCAUUGGCACCAACAAGCAAUGUAAGAUCAUCAGCAAAGAAGAGAUGAGAGAAUUUUGAACCCUUCCUGCUGAUGGAGAUAAGGGACCAAGUAAGGAUGUCGAUUUCAUGAUCAAUUUUUUUGGAAAAAAUAUCCAUGCACAUAAUGAAGAGGUAAGGAGAGAUUGGGUCUCCCUAUCUGAUACCUCUUGAGGGGUUGAAGAAAGGAGUUUUCUCACUAUUUAUUAGAACAAAGAUAGAAGAGGUUGAGAUACAAGACAUAAUCAGGGUUGCCAGAUGGGUAGGAACAUUAAAGUAAUGAAGAGUUUCCCCUCAUCUUUCUGAAAUGAUUAACAAUCUUUGGGACUAUGAUAGCAGUAUCAGAGGUUUUUCAAUUUAGAAGGAAACUAGAUUGGGAAGGGCUGAUAAGUUUGGUGAGUAGAGGUCUCAGUCUGUUGACUAUUGUCUUGGUCAUAAUUUUAUACUGUAUAUUGAAGGGUCCAAUGGAUCUAAAACUUCUCAAAUUUGUAGAAUUGGUAUAUUUAGGGAUGGCCAGAGGUAGGUGAUAUUGACUUUAGGAUCCAUAGUGGAAGAGUUAAAGGUAUCAAUGCAAAAUUUGGUAGUGGUUGGGCUCAGGAUGUUCCAGUAUUUUUGGUGCAUUAAGGGGUGGAUCCCAUCUAGGCCCCGGGCUUUAUAAGGUUUAAAGAAAAAAAUAGUCUUCUUUAUUUCUGAGCUGGUGGGAGGGUUGUUAAGUAAAGAGUGAUCCUCCUUCCUGAUGGAUCCAUAAGAAGAAGAAUUAUUUUGGUAUUUCAGAAGGGAGGAGGAUUACUCAGAGAAGAAGAGUUUAGAGUAGAAAUUGAGGGUGAAAUCCAUGAUAUCCUCUGGUGAAUGAUACUAGUUUCCAUUAUCAUCUUGGAUGGCUAUAAUUCUAUUUUUUUUCUCCUUCGAUUAAGGGUGGAGGUGUGGAAGAAUUCUGUGUUGGAAUCCCUUUCAAUAAGUCAAUUUAUUCUAUAUUUAAUUUUGCAGAACUCUUGCUCAUCUUUGAGAAUGCCACUAAAUUCUUUUAAAAGAGAGGAUUCAAGGGAGUGGAGAAAAAAGUUAUGGGUGUAGUUAGGGAAUUUUUGGAUGCCAGCUAGCCUAGCUAGGAUUUUAUUUUUUUGAAAAUGUUGCCAAAGACCUCUUAUUUCUUUGAAAAGUAUAAAUUAUUAUGAACAUAAAGAUAUGUGAGUUAUGAAGAUGAUUUAAAAAAAAAAACUCAAAAAAAAAGUGUAUUAGAAAUAUAAAAGGUUUUAGAGAUAUGAAUUUUAUUAAUAUCAAUUAAGAGUAUAAUUUAUUAUGAACAUGGAGAGAUGUGAGUUAUGAAGAUGAUUUUUUAAAAUAAAAUAAUUUAAAAAUAAGAAAAACUUCAAAAAAGAAAAAAGAAAAAAGAUAAAUAGGAUCCUUGACCAAAAAGAGGUGUCAGAUCACCUUGUCUUGAUUCUUCUUUUAUUAUUAUAUAUAGAUUUGUGACUUAUUUUAGACUAAAAGUUUUUAAAGUCUAUUUUUCUUAAACAUUGUGUCAAGUCCAAACUAACUCAUAUAAAUUAGAACAAAGAAAGUAGCUUAAUUCGUAAAAUUAAAAUACUGUCACAAACCUCCCUAAAUUUACUUUUGUUGCAAGUGUGGAAGAAAUAAAAGGUCAUUCAUAAAUUUAGUUUUUAGUGUGGACACAAGACUUUAGUGACUAUUUAAUUCUACAAAAUAAAGAGUGUUUUACUAACUUAUUCUUGAAAGAUCCUUGAAAAAAGAUGUAAAGCAUAGUUUCUUGAUCACGUAAUUCUGGAAGAAUAUAUAUCGUUACUGGUUAUUUGACAGGAGAAUAAAAUACAUAGGAAUAUCUCAUUGAACUAUUUUAUCAUAUCCUAUUAAAUUAGCUAAUAGCUCAUAUCUAAUAUAGGAUAAAUCUAAUCUCAAAUUUAUAAUGAAAUUAUUAUACUUAACCAACCUAUCAAAUAAUCUCUUAAUGACUUAAUUAAUUAUGUAAAACACUACUUAGAACAAAACAAAAACUAGAACACCAUUUAUUUAUUAAACAAAGGGAAUAUAGAUGAAAAUAGUCAAAUGAUAAAAUAAGUAGUCAAAUAAAAUCUAAAAAUAGUUAGUAAUUAGAUUACGUAGAUCCAAAUAGUAGUUGUGAUGCUACUACUAUGUUGACAAAAGUUGACGUUUGUCAUUCACUUGUAACUAUCUAUAUAUUCCAGUCUUGCAUCUCCACUUACACACACACACACCCCACCCCUAACCCCCAACCCCAACCCCAACUCACCCCCCAAACCAACACCCAUUGACACCAUACAUCGAACUAGUGCCGACAGAUCAUCUGUUGCAUCCGCAGUAGGCAGAUCUAGCGGUGGUGGACCAGGGACACCUACAGAGCAUCCAAGUAAUCAUAGGAAAGAAAGGCAAAAACAGGUGUUGUGAAGCUGAUAGCUGAAAAUGCGAUACUCAUUAUAUCAACAUGUGAGUAUUGCAGUGCGUCACGGUGAAGAGCUUGUCGGUUUCGUUGGGGGUUAACCCAUUGGUUUUUAACAUGGAUGAAGAAGACAAAACCUCCGUGUGGAUGAAGCUAUCAAAGAUGAAUGAAGGUGCCAGCAGUGGUACCAGAGGACCAUGCGAGUUACCAGCAGUGUAUAUAGGAGGGAAGUACUAAGAAGGUGUUGAUAAAGUGAUGGAGAGUCAUGUAAAUGGUGAAUUAGUUCCAAUACUUAGGGAAGGUAGAGCUUUAUGGCUUUGAAUUAACUAGCAACUCCAUCGUUCUCUCUGUUCUUGUUUUAGUUUCCUUUUAUAUGGUGUUAUUUGCAGUAAGAGUCUCCAGUUAGUUAUGUUGUGGUAUCAGAGGUGAAAGUUAUGAAGAAGUGAAGAAGUGAUUCUAAAUUAUUUCCAAACCAAAUGAAAUGUUUCAAGUGAAACUGUGAAGUACAAUUUCUAAAAAAGGAACUAUGACACUUUUGCUUGUUCAAUUCAGAAAAUCUAAGAGAUAAUUUAUCAGUUGGUUUUUAAUUUACUCCUAUUAUUUAGUAUAAUCAAUUCCCAAUUCAAAUGAAACAGUGAUUCUAAAUCAUUACCAAACCAAAUAAAAUGUUUCACAUAAAGUGAAAUUCAUAAAAAAGGAAGUAUGUCACUUUUGCUUGUUCAAUUAAGAAAAUCUAAGAGAAAAUUUACCAAUUUGUUUUAAAUUUACUCUUAUUGUUUACUAUAAUCAUUUUCCAAAAUAGUAAAUUAUUAGAUUCAAAGUGUGAUAUACUAAAAUUAUGAUUCUAUUUGUAUUGUAGGGGGUGCGGAUAGUGCGGAUAACUUGGGUAAUUUGUAGGUAAUUUGCAUGGUUAGUUAAAUACUUUGUGGUAAUAUUCAUUUACUUUUGUAUUUUAUGCUUUGAUACCAAUUGUAGGGGGGUGCGGAUAGUGCGGAUAACUUGGGUAAUUUGUAGGUAAUUUGCAUGGUUAGUUAAAUGCUUUGUGGUAAUAUUUAUUUACUGUUUUUCUCCAUUUUUGUAGUUCUCGUAUACAAUUUUGGAGAUAUUCUAUAUAUUUCAUAUCUUUUGUUUCAAUAUAUUUUAUUAAAUUCUUUUCCAUGACUAUUUCUAAUAAUUUUUUUCGUUCCAUAUCUAUUCUCCAAGCUCUUAAGUAUUCAUAUUCUAUCAUUUUAUCCUAUAGUAGUUGUAAUUUUAUAAACUUUUGUGUAAUAAUUUAUUCUAAUUGUGCAAUAUUUGAUAUGUAAUCCUAUGUUAUCUAUGUGAUCAAUUAACACUUGUUGUUCAUGUAUAGAUAAUUUUCCAUAUGGAUUAUAUAAAUUAUCAUUUGUACCUCCUUUUUCUAAGGUUAACUUUAUUCCAAGUAGUCUUUCUUUUAAUUGUCUUCUUUUUCUUCUAAGCUGAUUUCUGUAAUUAAUUUCUUCAUAUAGCCAACUUUGUCUUUCUCUAAUUCUUCUAAUAUAUUCUAAUAUUUUUUAAUCUAUAUAAUAUCCGUCUGAAUAGUAAUUAUCUAGGUAUGAAUAGUAGCUAUCGUCAUUUAAGUGUAUUUGUUCUAAUUCAUCUUCUAUCCAAUUUUCUAAUUCUUCAUCUUCAAUAUCAAAUACCUUUUCCCAUAUAAUUUUCUUUAUGUCUAAUAUAUCUAUAUCCUUAAGUACAUAUAAAAUAAGUAUCUUAAAUUCAUCUAUCAUUUCAUCAGGUAAGUAAGUAUUUAUUUUUCACAUGAUGCUAUUUUUCAAAAUAUUCCCUCCAAUCACAUACAUAACAAAAUAUGAUCAUUUUAGAGCACUAUAUACUAGAUUAUUCUUAAAUAACAUGUUUUUCGGUUACUAUUAGCAUGGUAAUCUGGAUACUUUUCCCCUAAACAGCAUCUCUACUCUGGUUACUCCCCUAUCCCGGCUUAUUUGUCUUACCGGUUUCACCUUUAGGAUGGCAUAGUUCUAGGAUUUUUUUCUCCUUUUUCACUUUGCUAAUAAACUUAUUAACAUGCUAUUCUUCAAAUAAUUCUACUAUAAAGUAACUAAUAUGAGCUUAUUUCAUUAUACUUAUGAUUGUCAGGAAUUUAUGAAUUUAGCUAUUCAUAAUUAUAAAUGAAAAUACCUGUUUUGGUAGAUUUGAUAAAUCUGUGUUUUGUUCAUCCAUAGCUUAUUGUAAAACUGAAUAUCUUUAUUGAUUAUAUGAGAGAAAAUUUUAGUGUGUACAAGAAGGCUUGCUUUCCGUGUAGAAAGUCCUGCCUUAACUUAGCAAAUGCUUCUGCUAUUUAUAACCUAAAAAGAGAAAACAUGUAUACUAUUCUAUACUAUUCCUACUUUACAUUUGUCAUCUUUUCAAAAGUAGAAAAGACUAAAGUAACUUUACAAAAAGAAAAUCUUAAAACUAUCCUACAAAAAAAUAGAACUAAUAAUGGCUUUUUGGCCAAAAAAAAUCAAAAAGGCUAGUAAAAGCUAAUAAAUGCUUACAUAAUAAUUUACGAAUCACCUAAUAUUUUACAUGUCACAAAGUUAUAUAAUAAUUCAUAUGUCUCUUUCGUAACUUUAAUAUCUUGUCUUCUUGUCUCCUGCUUUAUUUCUCUAUCGAUCCGUGUUGUUUUAUAGAUUUUAUCUUCUAGCUGGCGUCCUUAUCUUCUUUCAUUCUAGCUGAACUUCUGGAAUUACAUUAUUUUCUCCAUUACAUUUUGAACAUAAAUGGUAUGGAUAUUUAUGUCAUAUUAUUUUACAGUAUCUGGUCAAUAAUUCGUCUAAAAUAAAUUUUUCCUUAAUUGCUCUGGUAGUUGGUCGUUUUUCUGGAUUGAGCAAUGUUAUAAUCCAUUGUCUAACUUCUUCCAUAUCUGCUUGUCUUAAUUCUCUUGAAUUUGAAUAAAUCAUUAGUUGGUCUCUUGAAUAAUAACUCCAUAUUGAAUUUCCAUUUAGGUAGUUGUUUGCUAAUUCCUGGAUAAUUAUCGAUAUUCCAAUAAUUCUUUUAUUCGCAUAAAAAUCUGGUAUAUCUAUUAUGGUUAUUUCAACUUGUUGUUCAAUAUCUUCGGGUAUGAUCAUAUCUCGGGUCAUUCCUAUCUUCACAACUUGUAUAACUAUUUAAUUUCAUAAUACAAUAUCUCUGUUGUUGCCGUAUAGAACUUUACAAAAAAUAGGUUGCCUUUGGUUAUCUUUUUGUAAGUGGUAAUUGCUUUAUAUAUUUCUAGUAUAGAAGAUAAUUCACAUCCGUCUUGGGUAUAUACAGUAUUCAGUAGUCCAUACCUGAAACAGGUUUUAACUAGAUUUGGUUUAGUUUUUGGUAAUGCGAUUAACUUAUUGUAUCAUUGUAGCUUUUGGGUUAUAUAAUUCGUAUUUGGUUCUUAAAUGUUUGUAGCUCUGGGUUUAUGAUUUAAGUAGGUUUGUAUCUGGUGGAUGUUUUCAAUAUAUGAUCUGGUUAUGUGGUUAUAAGCUUUCUUGUCUUGGUUUAGGCUAUCUAAAUAUGUGGUAGUUUGUAGGGGUAUAAACAAAGGAUCUUUAGGUGUUUUUGGUAUAAAUGGCUUGUCAAAUAUUUUGUUCAAGUUCAUAUUUGGGUUCAUUCUAACUCCUUUGCUUGUACCUGCAAAAGUAGAUUGAUAAACGUCAUGGGUUUUUUGGAGUGUCUCAAUGUCUCCUUCUAUCUAUGGAAUUUUAUUGUCUUCCGAUAGACAUUUCUCUGCACACUGCUGAGUUAUCUGAGUCAUAACUUCAAACUUCAUUUUAACUUCAUUAGUCAUUAGCUUUUCUAUCUUAUUUCCCAUACUAUCCACUUUCAGUGAAAGCGUAGUUAAGGUUUUGAGUAUCUUUUCUAGAGUAUCGUCUUCUGUAAUAUCAGUUUGGGUAGCUUUGUCUUGAUAUGUAAUCUGCAAUAACAUUCUUAUUAGUCUUGAUUACUUCAAUUGUAAAUGUAAAAUUUAAUAUAUUCAAUAUUAAUCUCCGAAUUUCCUUCAUUGUAACUGAAUUUUGUAUUUUUCUUGUUAACCACCAUCGUACCUGUGUAUUAUCUGUUCGUACAAUAAACUUGUUAUAUACAAUAUAUGGCUCAAAUUCUAAUAAACAUUUAUAUAAUGAGCAUAAUUCUUUUUUAUUUAUUUCCCAUUUUAUUUCUGUUUCAUUAAACGUUCCUGAGUAGUAUCUACAAUGAUGUUCUAAUUUUUCUUCUUCAUAUUUAUAUUUAAGUACUCCUCCGUAACUAUAUUCACUUGCAUCUGCUUCUACUAUAUAUAUAUAUAUUUUUUAUUUUUGUCUGGAAGUUGUAGUUUUGGUAACUCUUUACAAAGUAUUUUUAUUUUUUGUACUUGUUUUUUUCUUCUUCAUUGUAAUUAUACUCUACAUCCUUUCUUAAUUUUUUCUGUAAUGGCUUUAGGUUUUUCGCUAAUUUUGGUAUAUAUUCUCUUACUUGGUUUACUAAUCCUACAAAUGAUUGUAAUCUCUUUUUUGUAUUUAAUUCUUCUUUUGAACUGAUUAUUUUUUGUACUAUAUGUUGAUGCAUUUUUACUCCACUUUUAGCUAUUUGUAUUCCUAAAAAUUCUAUCUGUUUUUUCAUUAUUUCUGCUUUCUUUUCACUUAGACUUAUUCCUGAAUUUUCUAUUAUACCUGCAAAUUGUUCUAAUAAUUUUAAAUGUCCUCUUUAGUUUUUGUAUAUAGUAGUAUAUCAUCUAUGUAUACUAUACAAUUAUGUAAUUGUUUGAAAUAGUUAUCCAUAAAAUGUUGAUAUCUACCUGGUGCAUUUUUAUAUCCAAAUGGUAACACAUUCCAUUCUCAAAGUCCUUGUGGAACUAUAAAUGCAGUUAAUUUUUUAGAUUCUUCUUCUAGCUUUAAAUGGUAAAAUCCUGAUUUACAAUCGAACUUACUGAAAUAAUUAUAUCCUUGUAUCUGUCUUAUUUUAAAUGUCUUAUUUGGUAUUGGAUAAUUAUAUGUCAUAGUUUUUGCAUUUAGGUUUCUAUAAUCAAUAAUCAUUCUACUUUUUCCUCUUUUUUGUUCACUAUGUUUAUUUACUAUAAAUGCUGGGCUAGUGUGUUUACUAUUACUUUUUUGUAUGUAUUUUUUUUUCUAAUAAUUCAUCUAUAUACAUUUUAAAUUCUUUUAAAUCAUCAAAGUUAUAUGUUAGUGGUUUUUGGGUUAUUAUACUAUUUUUAUCUUUUAGCUCAAUUCUUACAGUAGUCUUAUGUUUUUCCCAUCAUUUUAAUGGAUCUUCACUGUAUAGUUGUCUUAAUAUUUUCUUUAUUAUUUCUACCUUAUCUAUUGAAAAUAUAGUUAUUUCUUCUUUAUUUAUAUGAAAAUAUAACUAGUUCUAUUGUGUCUUCAGUAUUUUUUAUAUUUUCUAAUUUUUGUAUGAUUUUUUCACUUACUUUUAUCCAAUCAGUCUUUUUUCUUAUGUUAUUAAUAACUCUUUUUGCUCUUACUCUUUGUUUACAUGGUGUUGUAAACCACCAGUGUGUUUUAGUUAUUAUAUAUGGGUAUAGUUUAUCUAAAAAUGGCAUUCCUAAAAGCAUAUCUUUUGAUGUUAGUUCAUAAUUAUAGAUCUCUUCUAUAGUUAAUAGCUUAUCACAUACUUGUAUUUUUAUAUUCUUUAUAGGUAAUUAAGCUUCCUUCAUUAUUAAAUUCUUUGACUACUAUUGGUGUUUUUAGCUUAUCCCAUUUGUCUUCUGGUAAACAAUUAUAUCUGCAUAAGUUGGCUUCUGCUCAUGUAUCUAUCAUAGGUGUAUAAUAUCUAUUAUAAUAUCCUUCUAUUAUUAUUUUCAUAAGUACAUAUAUUUUCAUGUUAGAGCUCUCUUUAUUAAUAAUUUUUCCUUAUUGAAUGUUAUGGUUAAUUGUGUAUGUUCUAUAUUGUAGGGUUUUACUUGUUCUAACCAUUUUAUUCCUAGUAUUAUGUCUGGUUUUUGCAUAUCUUCCUUUAUUUAAAAUUCUAUUUUUAUUUUUCUAAUUCCUAUUAUUAUUAUUUUUUCGGUUGUAUCUUUAAUAGUUAUUAAACUUCUUGAUAGAUCUGGGCAUAUAUUACUAUUAGAUUUUAUUUCUUCAUUUUUCACUAGGUAUUUGCUAUAUGGUUUUCUUCUUGUCCUGUAUUUAGGAGUAUUAAAUAUUCUUUUUUAUUUAUUGUUCCCGUUAUAUAAUAUUGAGUUAAAUUAAUUGUUGAAGUUAUUUCAUAAUUUGUUCUUUUCGAUGAUCCUGAUGAUUCUAAUUUUUCAAAAGCUAUUCUUUUGUUGUGUUUAUUCUAUCAUUUAUUAUUUCUAAAGAUUCUUCUAUAUCUAUGUUUUUGUAACUAUAAUCAUUGUUAUCAAUUGUUUUUACAAAUUGUUCAAAAGGACUUUCUAUUUGUAUUAUAUUAAUUUUAUUUUUUUCAUUAUUUUAUAUUUUGUUGUUAAUACAUAUAGAUUUUUACAUCUUGCUAUAAAUAUUUUACUUCCUCGGUUAGUUCUAUUCCUGAUAUUUUCCAAUAUCGCACUAAUGACUUAUCUAUGUUUUUAUCUGUUGUUGUUACUGAAUAAUUUGCACUUAUUAUAAAUUUAAAUUUUUGGUAUAUUAGAUUUCCUCUUAUAGCAGUUAUUAUACUUUUUUCUAUAGGUUUUAUAAUUCUAUAAUCUGCUAAAUAUAAUUCUAUNNNNNNNNNNNNNNNNNNNNNNNNNNNNNNNNNNNNNNNNNNNNNNNNNNNNNNNNNNNNNNNNNNNNNNNNNNNNNNNNNNNNNNNNNNNNNNNNNNNNNNNNNNNNNNNNNNNNNNNNNNNNNNNNNNNNNNNNNNNNNNNNNNNNNNNNNNNNNNNNNNNNNNNNNNNNNNNNNNNNNNNNNNNNNNNNNNNNNNNNNNNNNNNNNNNNNNNNNNNNNNNNNNNNNNNNNNNNNNNNNNNNNNNNNNNNNNNNNNNNNNNNNNNNNNNNNNNNNNNNNNNNNNNNNNNNNNNNNNNNNNNNNNNNNNNNNNNNNNNNNNNNNNNNNNNNNNNNNNNNNNNNNNNNNNNNNNNNNNNNNNNNNNNNNNNNNNNNNNNNNNNNNNNNNNNNNNNNNNNNNNNNNNNNNNNNNNNNNNNGUCUUUAGGCAUUUUACAAUCUCUAGCUAAAUGUCCUAGUUUUCCACAAUUAUAGCAAGUACAUUCUUUUAUAGAUUUCUUUUUCCUAUAUGGUCUUUUAUAUUUAUAUUUUUUUACAUAAUAUCUUGUUCUUGGUUUCUUAUACUUAUAUUGUGACUUUUUGUACUUCUUAUAUUUCUUAUGUCUUUUUCUUUUCUUAUAAUAAUUUUCUUCAGAUCUAAAUUGGGGUGCUAUUUUAUCCUUGCAACAUGCUAAAUUUCUUAUUAAAGUUUUUUCCAUUUUUGUUUCUUCUCUGUAUUUUUCUCAUAUAUUCCUAUACCAUUGUUGUAGAAAUUUUAUUCUUGCUCCUAGGGUAUCUACUAUUUUUGCUUCAUCCCAACUCUUUAUUAUUUUUGAACUAAAUGGUUCACGUAAUUUACUAAAAUAUAAUCUUCUUACUUCUUUACUUUCUUCUGUAUUGUAUGUUCCCUAAUAGUAGUGUUCUUUAAAUGCACACGUAUAUUCAUCUAUAUAGCACAUAUUACAUAUUGUUAGUUUUAACAUUAAAUUCCUAUUUAUAUCUUUUUCUUUGGUUUGUUCUUCUGUUGCCAUACUGCUAAAUUCAUCUCUUAUAGCUAUUUCAUAUUUUUUCAAUAUGUCUAUAGGUGUUAGUUUAAUUACUGUUGUUCCUUCCGUUUUUUUAUCAGCCAUUAAUACUUUUUUACUAUCUUCAGAUUAAUUUAAAAACCAUAAUUUUGUUGUUCCUGUUAGUGUUUUUUCUAUAUAUUUUGGUGUAUCUAUUGCAUUUAUACCAUUGUCUAGUAAUUAUUUUGUUAUAUAUCCUAUCCAUAAUUGUAUCAUUUUAUCUACAUCUAUUACACAGUCUAUGCCUAAGAAGUUAUAAUUUUUAUUAAUUAUUUGUUUUGACGUCCAUUUGUUAUAUUCAUCCUUUAGAUUAUACCUUUUAAACCUAUCUUUAUAAUAAUAUGUAGGUUUUCUUAUUUCUGAUGUACUAGGUAUUAUGUUUUCGUCAUCUUUUAUAUCAAGAUUAUUUACUUCUGUAUUUGUUUCUUCAAUAUUUUUAUUAAUUGCUUCUUGUUUUUCCUUAAUUUCUAGGUCUUCUAUUUUUUCAAAAAUUUCUGUAUAUGUUUCACAAUUUUCUGAAUCAUAAUCGGUUGUUUCUUUAGUGGCUAUUGUGUUUACUUCUAAUUCUUUGGUUUCUAAGUCUUCAUUUUUUAUUUCUAAUUUUUCUUUGAAUUGGUUUAUUUCAUCUAAUAAUCUUUGUUCUUUAUCUUUUUCCUUUUCUUUUUGUCUUUUUUCAUAUAAGUUUUUUAACAUUUGUAAUUCUUUUUCUAUGUACUUAAUUACUUACCUGAUGAAAUGAUAGAUGAAUUUAAGAUACUUAUUUUAUAUGUACUUAAGGAUAUAGAGAUAGUAGACAUAAAGAAAAUUAUAUGAGAAAAAGUAUUUGAUAUUGAAGAUGAAGAAUUAGAAAAUUGGAUAGAAGAUGAAUUAGAACAAAUACACUUAAAUGAUGAUAGCUACUAUUCAUACCUAGAUAAUUACUAUUCAGACGGAUAUUAUACAGAUUAAAAAAUGUUAGAAUACAUUAGAAGAAUUAGAGAAAGACAAAGUUGGCUAUAUGAAGAAAUUAAUUACAGAAAUCAGCUUAGAAGAAAAAGAAGACAAUUAAAAGAAAGAUUACUUGGAAUAAAGUUAACCUUAGAAAAAGUAGGUACAAAUGAUAAUUUAUAUAAUCCAUAUGAAAAAUUAUCUAUACAUGAACAAAAAAUGUUAAUUGAUCACAUAGAUAACAAAGGAUUACAUAUCAAAUAUAGCACAAUUAGAAUAAAUUAUUACACAGAAUUUUAUAAAAUUACAACUACUAUGGGAUAAAAUGAUAGACUAUGAAUACUUAAAGAGCUUGGAGAAUAGAUAUGGAAGGAAUAAAAUUAUUAGAAAUAGUCAUGGAAAAGAAUUUAAUAAAAUAUAUUGAAACAAAAGAUAUGAAAUAGAUAGAAUAUCUCCAAAAUUGUAUACGAGAACUACAAUAACGGAGAAAAACAGUAAAUGAAUAUUACCACAAAGCAUUUAACUAACUAUGCAAAUUACCUACAAAUUACCCAAGUUAUCCCCCCCCCCCCCCCCAAAACUAAUUUUCGGGGGGGGGGGGGGUGGAUAGUGCGGAUAACUUGGGUAAUUUGUAGGUAAUUUGCAUGAUUAGUUAAAUGUUUUGUGGUAAUAUUCAUUUACUCCGAUAUUAGCAUUAAAAUUGUGAUGUAUUAUAUCUUUGUAUUAACCAAAAUUAAUCCAAGGAAUUGAUAUAUGCAGUUUUAGAAUUACUUUAACUUUCUUUUUUUUUUUUGCUCAUAUUUUUUUUGUAUUUAAGUGUCAAUUAUUUCGGUAAACAACAAAAAUCAUUCAACAAUAUUAUUACCAGACAUAGUUUUAACUAAUGCCUUUUUUAUUAUGAAUAUCAAAACAAUCUUCUUUUCAAAUCAAGUUUGAUAGUUCCAUAUAUAAUUGGUUAAAUAUAACAUCUGAAGCAACUACACAUCAUAAACAAAAACUACGUACUGAUCGUAAAAUGCCUCAGGUAAGAUGUGAAAAUGUGAGAGGUAGUAAAUGAAAUAAGGGGUACGGUGAAGUAAUAAAUAUUUAUUUAUCAUUAAUAAAAAGAAAAAUUGACUUGUGUCUAAGUAUGAAGUGGUCUUUGUUGGAGAGAAAGUUUACUCCUAUGUGAGAUUUUUCGACAGAAAUCUAGAUUUAAUCAAAUGCCAUUAUAAAAUAGUGAAUACAGUACUAAAACCAAAACAAUAUGUGAAGUGGUUGGCACUAAUUCAAUAGUUGGCUGUCAACUGUCAAUUAUGAAGCAAUAAUGACACUUCAUGUGAUGAUUUAAUUGAUCAUUAUCCAAAUUAACUAGUACUCCGUUUAAAAUUAGUGUUGCUUCGGUAAAAAACUUGUCCCACAAUAGAUGUCUUCUUCAAGAUUCAAGCCAAAAAUAGUAAUUAUUUUUAACUUUAUUCUUUUACUCCUACAAAGAAUUAUUGUUUAAUAGUGGUUAACUUCCGAGAAGUAUCUAACAAAUAAGGUUGAUAAUUUAGUAAAUAAUACUUUGAAUUUGUUAGUUUUUUAAUGGGUAUGAAAUGAGUUAAAAUGAUGCUUAGGACCCAUUUAAUCAUAGAUACACCAAGUAGUUUUUGGUGAAAAAAAAUCGACAAAGUGUUUGAUCAUACAAUUUGUUUUGACAAAUAACUGAAAUUUCUAUAAAAAAAGAAAAUGGUUUUCGAGUCAAAUUCUAUUAUUUGAAAACUUUUAAAACUCAAACUUUAGUCCAAAUUUUUGUAUUUUAUAAAAAUACCAUCACCGUUUAUUAAUUCCAACUAAUAUCUAUUUGUCAAUCAACCCCAAUAAACCUUGCUAUUUGACUCAAGUAUGUAAUAAUAUUGUUACAUCGGACUUGUUAAAAGUAACGUAAGUAGAAAAAGUGGAUGCUUGUUUGUGAAUUGAGAAAACUUCGAUAGCUUCUACUAGAUAAGUGAAAUUGUUUAUAAGCAAGUUGGAGCUUAUAAUUUGUGAGUUUAAUUUUUAGCAUGCAACAUGUUCAUUAUAAAAUGACAAUACAAAGUUAUAUAUAAUUAUAAUAGUUUUUAGAAUUUAUGAAUAUAAAUCAUAUUUCUAAAAAAAGUCAAAUAUUUUUUUCAGAAACUAUGAUCAAACACAUAGGAAAACUUUUCUCAAAAUAAUUAGAGAUGAGGUAGUCAAAUAAAAAAUAAAAAAUAGUCAAAUGAAAUUCAAAAAUGGUUAAGGUAUAUUUCUUUUAUUUCAACUUGUUUGAUCUACUUGUCUUAGUCAGCUAAAAAGAAUGACUCUUUAAUUUAUAUUAAAAAAAAAUAUAUGUUCAUAAAAUUCAUAUCAAUCGAAACAGAUCUAUCAAUUUAAAACAGAUUUGUUGAUCCAAAUAGUAGUUGUAAGGCACGUCACAAUAGUUGACUUUAGUCUCCCUCUUGUAACUUCCCAACCGUAUAUAAUAGCACACUCCCUGCGUCUCUACUCCCCAUUCUACCAAAGCCUCAUUUGAUAUCAUGGUUGGAAUUCGAAAUUCUUCCAGGCGAACUACCUCCCCAUCGUCCCCCAUCGCCUCGACCGGCAGCUCCACUAUGCAGCCACCGCGUACGGAACGAAGGAACAACAAUACACGGAACACUCUGGCUGAGCUAAUAGAAAAAAAUGCAGUGAUUAUUGUAGCCAGGUUCCAGUGCUACAUGUGCUUUAUGUUGCAAACAUUAAUGGAAAGUUUGGGCGCCGCUAAUUACACCAUGAUACAAGGGGAGGAGGUGGAGGAAGCUCAGAUGUUGGAGGAGCUCUCAAAGCUUGAGGAGGGCAGCAAUAGCAAUGGCCGAGGACCGCGGAGUUUGCCUGUGGUAUACAUAGGAGGGAAGUUUGUGGGAGGCGUUGAUGAAGUUUUAACGGCUCAUGCUAAGUGUGAAUUAGUUCCUAUGGUUAGGGCAGCUAGAGCCAUAUGAAUUUGAAUUCUGAAUUAAUAAUAAUAUAUAGAGGAGGAGGAACUAGGAUAUCUCCUUUUCUUGUUUUCUUUUAUGCAAUUUGCAGUAGUAACUAGUCAUCACCAUCAUUAUUUAGGAACUCCUACCUCUUUCAUGAAAAGAUGGUUGUGCAAAUGUACCUAUGUGGUGGUGUAUUGGACGCGGAACUUAUGAAAUAAAUGAGACUUUUGAAACAUAGAUAUACUCAAAACAAGUUAUAAAUAAUUAUGUGAUCAUAAAUCAUUCCAUCAAGAACAAAAUGAAAAGUUUAAAAUCAAUAGUUUCUAAAAGGAAGGAGAGGAUUGAUAUUUUAGGUCUCUUGUAAUUUUUUGAAGUUUUUAUGUUAUUUUUACAACAGAUUUUUCAUAUUUGCACAUCAAGGAUCUUCAUUUUGCGCAUGAUAAGAGAUCUAAAAAGGUCAUGAUGGAGAAAUUAAUACUGUAAAUUAGAUUACACAUGGAGAGGAACAUAACCCAAAGUGUUUGUACUCAAUAACCCUAAGAAGUAUGAUCAGGGUUUAGGUUCUCUUGAUUUUGUGUUAGUACUCAAUAUUUCUAGCAAAGUGUUUCCAUAUAAGAUAGUAACAUUUGUAGUCAUCCUGCAGAUAACAUCUCCUGUAGAUUUCUUUCCCUUAUAGUUAAGUUGAUGAUUUACUAAUUAAAUUAUAUGUGCUUGCAGUACUUAUUGAUUUAAUUUGCUCAUUUUUUGCUUUCAGUAUUUUAAGGAUCAAAUUUUCAGUUAAUAAUGUAAAUCAUUCAAAAAUAUUCUAACCAGAGAUAACGUUAUCUAGUGCAUUCUUUUAUUAUGAAUAUCAAUUCUCUUCUUUUGAAAUCAGAUUCGAUAUUUCCCAUGUAUAAUUAGUUGAAACCAACUACGUUACUGAAGAAAUUAUUUCUACAUGUGUAAGCUCUAAUAGAAAUUAUUUCUAAGUGAGAAUAAGUAUCAUGAUCUAUAUCCUAGUGUGUGUAGUACUUUCGAGGUGAAAAAUCUUCAUAGGAAUCACUUAGAGAAAAGUUGAGCUAAGAACAUUUGAUUCGGCUAAAUCUUUGUUUUUGAUGUUACAAGGGUCUACUUUAAACAUGUAUAACUUUUGAUACACGUAGAAUUUUGAAGCUAAAUACCCACAAAAAUGUAGAUAAUUGAGUCAACUUUCCAACGAUAUCAAUUUUGUCUUAAUCCAAUACCCGAGCAAAAAGUUAUGAUUAUUUUCGUUAGAACCAGUAGCAGCGUGCGAUAAGCAUGUGGCGCACGCUCUAUUUCACGCCUGUGGGGGCGUACGAUAGAGCAUGUAACGCAUGCUCCAUUUGUCGUUCCAUAGCAUGCGAUGCAUGCUCCAUUUUACCCCUUAUUUUUCAGCUUCUGAAUCCGCACAAUUGAGGGCAAUUAGGUGAUUCAUCUCAUCCCAAAAUAUCCAAAACACAAGAUUUGAAGCACCAAAGAUCAUUGUAACAAUAUUAUUUCUUCUUCUACUCCAAGAAAACCCUAAACCUCCCAAAAGAUCAAUACCCAAGCUCUUAAGUCAAGGAUUCCAAGAAAACAAAUCAAGAUUUGGGUUCUAUUCUUUGGACUAAGUAAUCUAAGGUACUUGGGAUUUUCCUAAAUUACAUGGGUAUGAUGAAAUUAUAUCAAUAAGGUUUUGAAUGUUGAGAAAUCAUAUGUUUAUGAAGGGUUUCAAAUUACAUUAAGAAGUAUGCAUUGUGAAUAUUUUGAUCUUGAGGCCUCCCCUUAAACUUGAAUUUUUACUCGUGUAUAGGUAUAUAGGUAUUUUCAGUAUUGAAAUAUUAAUUGAGAUCAAUAAUAACUUAUUUUCCUCUCUCGUUGUGUUAUUUCUUGAUUUGCAAGUUAUGGGUUACUCAAUUGUAUGUCUUAAAACAUGAACCAAGGGUUUUACUAUCAUUUAUGAACUUUAUGUUGGUUUUGAAUUAAAGAGAAGGAUAUUUAUUGUUUGUAAAUGUUAAAGAUAAUUAUUGAAAGAAUUGCAUGGUUUGCUACAAAGUGAAUAACCGCCACAUGUUUAAGAAUUGAAAGAGAGAAUCUUUGAAUAAGUUUCAUGUAUUUCUUUAUACAAAUUCUCUUGUGAUAUUUGAAUGAUUUGGUGGUCUAAACAUUAUGUUUUGAAUGAAAUAACUAUAACACGAUAAUGUAUGGCUAAUAAUGUAUGACUUGCAAGUCUUGGUAUAAUGAUACCAAACCGAUGAAUGCCAUAGCAGAUUCAUAACAGACUAAAAAUAUAGAUUUUUACUCAGGUUCUAAAUUUAAAAGAUGCAUGCUUAGAAAAGGUUAAAAAUUGGCUUAAAGAGAGUUAGAUGGUUAGCCGAAGAAAGUAUAAGUUGAAAAACUCAAUGCUAGAAAUCGUGAUUUACUGACACGGGGUUAUGGUACCAUGUUGUGUGGUCGUAUGUACCUUGAUUUAUGUCAUCCCAAUUUGGGACUAUGGUUAGGAGCCAUACUUUGUGGUAUUGUGCACUACCAUGACAUGUUGAUUUGAUUGGGGAUCAUGGCACCAUGUUGUAUGAUCUUGCGUGUCUCCCCUUACUCGUACUUCAAUCCUUGCGGCAAACUUGGAUUGGAGGCUUGGCCGCUGAGUCAAGAACAGAUUUUAUAUAGUCCAUGGAAUUACAGAUUGUAGGGUGUACCAUCUAACUCAGAAGUAACAUAAAGUGUGGUUCAUGAUUACAAAGAAAUCUUUCAAUGUCUUUAAAGUAUGGCCAUGAGUUUUUCCUAUAUCAUAUGUACACUAUUUUUAUGAAUUCCUCUCACUUAUGUUAUAUAAAAGCACGUUAUUUUGGAUUGCUCUACAUACCAGUACAUUUGUAUUGACCCCCUAUAUUUCAGGAUGUGAGGCACAGUCCCGGGGUCCCGCUAAGCUGUAGAUUGAUCUGUCAAAAGUUUGCAGUUGGUGAGCCUCCCUGGUUUUGGAAGGCCAUGUAUAUGGAAAAAUAUUGUUUAAUUUCAGUUCAUAGUCCGACUGGGAGCCUUGUCCUAAUUUUUAGAUAGAUGCUGAUUUUCAGUUAGUAGAGAUUUCGCAAACUGGUGUUGUGUGUUUUGAAUGUUAAGAACUUUUUUUCGUAUGCAUCAGAUGAGUUAUAAGAUUGACCAUGUUUUCGUAUGUUAAUAUUCUGCAUUUCUUUACAUUCUAUGAACAUUGUGUAUGAUUACCAGAUAGAAAAGGGCGCUCGGACCUUCAUGGUUUGGGAUGUCUGUCAUGGCCAGGGUCUAGAUUCGAGUUGUGACAAACUUGGUAUCAGAGCACGGUUCAUGAUCCCAAGGUGUCUGUAAAAUCUCAUUGGGUAGAGCCAUGUUUAUGGAUGUGUAGCACACCAUACUUAUAAGUAGGAGGCUAUAAGGCGUUUAGAAAUGUUUCCCUUUCUUCAUGUUCUAGUUUGUGCAAUAGAGCUAGAAUGUUCCUCUUUCAUACUCUAGUUCAUGAUAUGGCAUCAUCCAUAUGAAAUUAAGGUGCCCCAAUUCUUUCCUUACUCUAAUGUUCUUAGAUAUGUCUCAUUGUCGAGGUGAUUCAAGUGUAGAAGCUUAGAAUCUGAAUAAUGUGGUCCUGUCUGAUUAACUCAUAAAUGAUUAUGAAAUUGCAAAGGGACUUGAGAGAAGUCCAUUAGUGCUUUAAAGUGUAUUUAUUUAAGCUUAUACCUCUAUCUACAUCAAUCGUGUGUUUGAGCCUGAGAUAUGAAGUGUAUUUAGUCCCUUUCAAAAAAAUUCUUGUUGCAGAUGUCAUACUUAAGGUUAGUGAUUUAUGUCAGAAUGUUGGAAUAAUAUCUCCACCCGAGUAGCAGUAUAUGUUAAGGUAUCGUACCCUAUUGGUAAGAAGAUGAUCCCGAAGUUAGUGAUAUGAAGUCACAAGGUUAGAAGUUAGGGUGAGGGUGACUUUUACGUAAAUAAAUAGUUGAGUUGUAUAACCCUUGACUGAGAGGUAGGUUGCCAUUUUAUAGUGAUAGACUAAUAUGGCAGCAAUGUUUAUAGAUUGUAUGGUAGUCUGUGGAGGGAGUGUUUAGAUAUGUUUAGUGCUUAUUCAAAAUAGGGAAGAAACUCAGAAUGGAUAGUUAUGGUGGUUGUAGAAAUCACGUAUGGGUUUUGAAUGGAAAGAGGUACAUUAGUCAAUAAGUUGUGGGUAAACACUCAUUGGGUGGAAUGGAAUUUAAAGGUAGUCUAAUUUUAUGCAUGGGUAAGUAAAUAUGAUGCAAAAAAGUAGGGUAUGUUAAUAGAUGGUAAUGGGUUAUACUAUAAGAUUAAGAUCGACUGUCAUUAUUAUGUGACUUUAACCCCCUUGGUUAUUUUUUCCCUAGUAGUUGUAAACUAGUACUACAUGUGAGAAGGUAUGUAGUAGAUUUUGAGGUGUAGUAGUAAUGUCGUGGAUAGGAUAAACUUAUGGGCCAUAGUUAAGUGAAAUAUGAGACUUAGGUUGAUAUUUCCAUUCGAUUGAUUAGUAUAGUAUAUGGCAUGCCCCAUAUGAUUGGUGUUGUUAGACAAUAGGCUUGAACCAUAGAUGUGGAGUGUAGUGGUAAGAAUAGUAGCUCGAGAUUGAUGAUGUGUAUUUUGUGGGAACGAACUUGUAGGCUUGAUGUGAGGUGUGAAAUAGCCUAGGUUGGAAACUUGUGGAAUAAUGAGUUGUCAAUUGUGAUGUAUAUGUAUACAUGAGAACAAGAGUAAAACAAUGAAUUGUGGUUGAAUCAUUACGUGGAUAAGAGCGCGAGUAUAUAGGAAUAAGUUGAACCCCGAGGUAACGUGUUGUUAGAUAAGGGAUUAGGUGUACGGGUGUCACGUGUACUUAGAUUUCAUUCUUGAAUCUUGUAGUAUGGAGAAGUCUGGGAAGUUGUUUGGUGUUCUUUAGAGUAGAAUUGAGGAGAUAUAGGUAGGCAAUGUGCACCGUUAGUAUAGAUUUACAAAUUUUGUUAAGUUGUAAGUUGUGUGAUUAAAGGUGUAAUGCUAGUAUUCUAAGGAAUUGAAGAAGGAGUGUUAAGUGUUUAAAAUCAUGGGUGUCUAUGCCCAUGAUAAUGGUAGUCGUAAGUCGAUGACUUUUGGAGUUAGAGGAAGUUAUGAUUAGUGUCCCUCAAGGGGGAUGUCCUAGAAAGGAUUUUGUGUCUUUAAAUUAAAAUUAUUGAGGGGAAUCUAGCAUCUAUGUGCAAGGUGAUACCCCUAUGUAUUGAGAGUUGUGGUUAUAGAUUUGAUGAGGGGUUAUAUCCUCAAGUUCAGGAGUGUGAUUUUUAUAUAAAAGGGAGAUGAUGGAUUAAAGUGGUUCCCAAAUUUUCUUAUGGUGUCAAGUUUCAAGUAAGAGUCAUGAUAAACCUAUUCCUAUUCAAGCAAGCUCCUCCUACGUCAAUUUAAGAGGUUAUUGUACCAAUGUCUUAUGUAUUUAAGUCUUACCUAUGUCUAAGUUUUGAUCACUCUAUGUAACUCAUGUCAUGUCCCGACCUCCAAAGUAGAAGCAAUAAUGUUCCUCAAUGAUCCAAGAUUCCAAGUAUUCCAGCCAUAAAUCUCUGUCCCAAAUCAUGCUUGGUUCUAAGGAACUAUGUUUUUAUAAGUUACUAAUUCAUUUAUGUCAGGAUUAGCCAAAAUGAUAAAGUUGUGCAAACUCAUGACUACAUCAGCUUUGAAAAAAAAAUAGAAGCAAUAGCUUCAAGUAUACAUCCUAGUCUCAAUCAUUGACUUUAUGAAUUCCAAACUUAUGUUAUACCACUCGUGAUAUAAGCGCCCGUGUUCCUCACUGUGGUCUAUCCUAAGAACUCGUGCUAUGUUGAGUUAUGACAGAGCGACUCUCUACUUAUAAACCAAACACUUGAUAUAUAAAGCACUUCAUGUCUAUUGAAUCAUAUCUUCAUCUCAUGUGCCACCUUGGGUAGAUCAAUAGAUAUGGGUUGUAAUUGAGUAGUGUUUCUCCCAUUCAAGAUGCUUAUACUCGGGUGAUACAAGAAUAAUCACGAAAAUAGACUUAUGUGGGUGUACAUUUAAAUCGUCCAAGUGUGUGUACAAGAUAAGUGCAAUUAAGUGCUUAAUACACACCAAAACAGUCCACUAUUCUACACUAGAGGGGAGCCUAUCUCUAAGGGUAUAAGGGACAUUUUGUCUUCCAUUUGCAAUAUAAUAUGUAAGGAACAUUCUAGGGUUUCAUGAGUUGGUUUUUGAAUGUUGAAUAUUGUAUAACACACUUGAAACACUCAAGUUCUCUCUAACUAGAAACUUGGCAGAAACUAGGUUCAUCAAAAGGAUGGAUUCUCUUUUGUUGAUUGCUUGCUUGGAUUAUGGGGUGCUUGACGGAUUUGGAGUCCCUCUUGUGUCCUCUGUAGAGUGUAGGUGUUGCUACUAUCUUCAUUAAGGGUCUUAGUGUUUAAUAUACACUUUGUUUCUAAGUUAUUGUAGUAGUGUAUGUCUCACUUCCUAUCAUUUACUUUCUUGUAAUCUUGUAACGUUGGUAUCUUGUUAUUGUGAAUCCAUUUUUGUUGUUGUUGUUAUUCAUAGUGUUUUUGCUCCUCUUGUUCAUCUUAAUGUGUUGUUAAUCUUAGUUUGGGUUGGCUGAUUUGGUGUUCAAAACACCAUAAAUCUUGUAUUCUUGUGUUGUUCUUGAAUCCGCGUGUGGUCACCAUUUGGUUCUCGGCUCCUAGUGAAUUUGUGGGUUAUUUGGUGUGUGAUUUUCGUGUUCCCUAGUUAGUUUAUUAUCAUUUGGUAUCAAAGCCAUCCUUGAUUUUGUUCUUACAAUACCAAUCUUGGGCUUUCUUGCUAAGAAAAAAAAGACGUGUCCUUGAGCUUGAGAUAUUGGCCGAGAAGUUGAACUUGUUGUUGUUGUAUCUUGGCCGAAUGUCGUGUGUCUAGGUCUAGGAUUUAUUUUUCUUGUGUUUUUGUUUCAAGUGUUAGUAUUCUUGUCCAUUAACACUUUGAGUCGAUCUAGAUUUGAGCUUUAAAAAUUAAUGUUGUUGUUGUGAACAAGGCCAUGGCCAUGUGUUGAAGUUGUUGUUCUUGGACAUAUGGACUUGUUUUUAUAGUAUUGGUUAGACGUUGUUGGUGUUUUUGAUCUUGAUUAAGUUGUUGUUGAGUUCUUGACAUUCAUCACAACCUUCACCCUUGCUAAAACCGAAAUACAACACCAAAAAGAACCUUGGUCGUGUGUUGACACUAAAAUUGGCCAUGAUGUGUGUUAAUGUUGGCCGUGGGGUAGAAAUUGUGGUUGUGUUGUUGAUGUGUUCUUGAAGGUUUUUAUGGUGUUCAUCUUGUUCUUCAUAUCAUCUUACAACUUAAGACAACCAAAAGUGUAAUAUAGAUUCAAAAAGGUGAACCUACAUGUUGUAAAGUUGUUUGUGAGAAGACUUGAGGCAUCACUUCCUUGACUUGACAUCUACUUUUCAACCACUUUCCUUGUUUCAAGGGACCUUGUUUUGUGGGAAUUAUACAAAGUCGGGUCUUACCUUUUGAAAAUUAGACUUAAAGGAAAUUCAAGACAUAUACAUUCCCUCCAAAACCAAUUGUUUCCAUUACACAGUAACUAAAGUUUAUAAACUCCAACUAGUGACUAAUUGUGGGGCCGCGACCAAUGGUAUGCUGCCAAGUCACCCAAGUUACUGUUCACACAAAAAUUUUAAGCUCAAAAUUUGAUCUUCUAGUUUCGUUUUGUUGUUUAUUUUGUUGAUUCCAUUACUAACUUAUGAGCUAGUACUAGAUUGUAAGUUACUUUUGAACCCGUUCUUCGUGUCUAUAAUCCUUUGUGUGUCUUAGUCUUUUGAGUCAUUGUAAUACUUGGUCCACCUCUCAACACCUCACAAAUUACAAGCAAACUUACAACAUUUGUGUGAUAAAAAGUGAGAAAUCCGAGAGAUAAAAAAUAAAGAGAGAGUGUGAGGACCAUUCUUUAAACAACUAACUUGUUUGUUGUUUUGUAGGUAACUUCUUGGCUGCAAUGGACAACAAUGCUCUUGGUGCUAUCUUGGCCGAACUUGAAAUGAUCAACCGAAGCAUAGAAAGUAUGCUCACGACUAUGACCUAAAUCCGAGGAGACAUGUCCUCAAUCAAAUGAUACAUGUCUACUAUGAAUGGGAGGUUGGAUCGAAUAGAGAGUCGAAGAAACUCUCGUUCUUCUACUCCUCGACUCUAUGUUUCCUCGAGUGGGCAUGACCAAAACACUUCCAUCACCAUUUCCCCCAAAACUUUUCCUACAAAAGUCAAUCCUCCAAGUUCACUAAAAAAUGCCAUGAGCCAAGUUACCAAUUACCCUCAAAACCAAGAACAAGGUAGACCACUUCUCCCAUAAGUUGAUCAAGUCCAAAAAGAAGGACUUGUAAUCCAAUUCCCUCCCAUCUAAAAUCCAAAACCGAAGCUUCACAUUAUCAAAACAGCCCUCUCAACUGAAACUCCACUUCACAAAACCGAUAUGUCUAUAUAGAGGAGUAUGAAAGAAAAAGGCAUGAAGUAUAUGGAGUCUACGAUGAUGCUUAUAUGAUGGAAGGAGGCUUGAGUCAGAUAAGAUUGAAGCGAAGUCUCAAGAUGGAGAGGAAGAUGAGGUUCAAAAUAAAGUUGUUGGCUGAGACUAGUUAAUAUUGAGCUCUCGGGUUCUUCAUGUUUUGCGGACUGUUUGAGUGAUUUUUUUUGAAGGGUCCAAUUGAAGGAAGUGAAGCCGUGAAUUUAUGGGCAAAUUCCUCUCAAGAUGGAGAGGGUGAUACAAGAAUAAUCACGAAAAUGGACUUAUGUAGGUGUGCAUUGAAAUCAUCCAAGUGUGUGUGCAAGAUAAGUGCAAUUAAGUGCUUAAUACACACUAAAACAGUCCACUAUUCUACACUAGAGGAGAGCCUAUCUCUUAAGGGUAUAAGGGACAUUGUGUCUUCCAUUUGCAAUUUAAUAUAUAAAGAAUAUUCUAAGGUUUCAUGAGUUGGUUUUUGAAUGUUGAAUAUUGUAUAACACACUUGAAACACUCAAGUUCUCUCUCACUAGAGACUUGGCCGAAACUAGGUUCAUCAAAAGGAUGGAUUCUCUUUUGUUGUUUGCUUGCUUGGAUCGUGGGGUGCUUGGCGGAUUUGGAGCCCCUCUUGUGUCCUCCGUAGAGUGUAGGUGUUGCUACUAUUUUCAUUAAGGGUCUUAGUGUUUAAUAUACACUUUGGUUCUUAGUCAUUAUAGUAGUGUAUGUCUCACUUCCUAUCAUUUACUUUCUUGUAAUCUUGUAACGUUGGUAUCUUGUGAUUGUGAAGUUGUUUGUGUUGUUGUUGUUAUUCAUAGUGUUGUUGCUCCUCUUGUUCAUCUUAUUGUGUUGUUAAUCUUAGUUUGGGUUGGCUGAUUUGGUGUUCAAAACACCAUAAAUCUCGUAUUCUUGUGUUGUUCUUGAAUCCGCGUGUGGUCACCAUUUGGUUCUCGGUUCCUAGUGAAUUUAUAAACUAUUUGGUGUGUGAUUUUCAUUUUUCCUAGUUAGUCUUGUAUCAUCGGGUCCCUUAAUGACCCUCCAUAUGUUAGUAUGAUGGUGGUUGUGGAAGUGUAGUAAUGUGUUAGAUAGGGGAGUAAAUGUUCUUGAAGAUGAAGUUUUUGUUAUGUGAAUUCUUGAGCUAAGGCUCUAGGAGAAGGGGGGAGAAGGAGAUGAACUUUUUUUAUGUGGAAUAGUUAGAAGGAGAUAUAUGGCGAGAAUUCUUGUGAGAAUGAUUGAAUUUGCUGGUCUUAGUGGAGAGAUCCUUGAAGUGGGGUGUUGUAAUGAUAGUCUUGAAUGUGGUGAUUGAUGAAAACACAAACCAAUGUGUUCUGUGGUUGGGACUCACUGAUUUAAGACCCAAGGGUGUCUGAUGGUAGUGAUAAGGUGAAGUAAUCUUCUUAAAGGGAAGUAAUCUUCUUUAUUAGAAUUUGCUGCACUUUUCCUUUGUUUUGCUUAUAUUCCCGUUUUGUAUUUAAGUGUCAAUUAUUCACGUAAACAACAAAAAUAUUCAAGAAUAUUAUUACUAAGAAAUAGUUUUAACUAAUGUCUUUUUUAUCAUGAAUAUCAAAAUAGUUUUCUUUUCAAAUCAAGUUUGAUAGUUCCAUGUAUAGUUGGUUAAAUAUAACAUCCGAAGCAAUUACACACUGUAAACAAAAACCAACUAUAUACUGAACAUAAAAUGUCUUAGGUAAGAUGUGAAUAUGUGAGAGGUAGUUAACGAAAUAAGGGUUAAGGUGGAGUGGUAAAUACUUAUUUAUCAAUAUCAAAAAUUUUGCCUCGUGUCUAGGUAUGAAAUGGUCUUUGUUAGGAAGAGGGUUUACUCCUAUGUGAGAUUUUUCAAUGGAAAUCUAGAUUUAGUCAAAUCUCAAUGCAAAAUGGUGAAUACUGGACUAAAACUAAAAUAAUAUGUGAAGUAGUUUGCAUUAAUUCAAUAGUUGGCUGCCAACUGUAAAUUAUGAAGCAAGUAAUGGCACUUCAUGUGAUAAUUUAAUUGACCAUUAUCCAAAUUAACUAGUACUCAAAAAAACUUAAUAAACUAUAUUUUUUAUUUAUUAUUUUUAAUGGGUAUAAAAUGAGUUAAAGUGACACUUAGGGCUCAUUUGUCCAUAGAUAGUAGUUUCUGAAAAAAAAAUUGAUAAAAAAUAUUUGGCCAUACAAUUUAUCAUUUCUUGACAAACAAUUCAAAUUUCCAAAAAAUUGAUUAAAAAAAAAUCGGGUCAAAUUCUAUUAUUUGAAAAUUUUAAAAAAUUUAAACUUUACCCCAACCUUUUAUAUUUUAUACACAAACACUAUUCAAGGUGAAAAUGGAGAGGGGUGUGGUGUGGUAGGGGUGGAGAGGAUAUAAUGAAUGUGGAACGCAAUUUGGGAGACCUGUUUUCCCUAAUUUCAUACAAAAUUUACUUUUCUCUUUUUUAACAAACUUAAUUUUUUUAGGAAAAUAAUUUUCAAAAUUUUGAGUUACCGAACUUAAAAAAAGUGAUGAAAAACAUCUUCUAAAAGAUAUUUCCACCAUACCGAACAUUUCUUAAGUCCUGCAACUGUCCAGAGAAUUGACUAAGAUCACGCCCUCCUCGAUAAUCAAAUUAUUUGAACUUUGAUCAAUAUUGUUUUUUAAUUUAAAUGAGAAGGAUUGUAAUUUAUAUAAUUUUAAUAUUUUUUAAAAUAUUAUAUUUAUCUAAUUAAAAAUAUAAUAUUACGACUAAAGUUAACUAGAAAGGCUUCUACAUUUAGUGGUUUUUUAAUCCACAAAAGAAUGAUAAAAUAAUCAUUUAUAAAGAAAACGUAUCCCAUUUGUUGUCAUUAAAUAAUGGACUAUUUUAAUCUGAUUAUACCAAUUUUGGCACUUUAGAAGCAUGGUCCCUCUCUGUUUAUUUUUUUUUUUUUUUCAGAUGAUCUUAUUGUGAUUAAAACAGUGGAGUUCUCAAGUCAACAAUAUUUUCAUCACGUGAAUACCAAUGGAUUUUGACUAUGAUUAAUAAUGAUGAUCUAAUCUAAUUUAUAUUAAUUAACUAGUUGGUAUGUUAAUUCACCUAGUAACAUGAGAAAAUUGAAGAAUGGGUGUCUUUUAAGUCUUGAAUGAAGGAUUGGCAACAUUGACCAACGGAUAGGGUCAAACAUUAUUAGGAAAAUUGUUCAAGUUAAUUGUGGAUUUGAUUAAUAUUUUCAAAACUUUCUAAUCUUUUCAAAAAUACAAAUCAACCCAACCCACACCCUCUUCAAUCCAAAUCAACCACUCUCUCCUCUCUCGAUAGCUUCUCUCAACUCUCUCCCAACCAACAGUUCUGCAAAAUUUCUCCCUUCAACCCCCGACGAUAAAUAGUUGGGCUUCGAGUUCCCCUAUUCAAUUCAAUCAACCUGUCUCUCAUCCCUCUCUCGACAGCUUCUCUCAACUCUCUCCGAACCAACUAUUCUGUUAAUUUUUUAUUUCAAUCCUCGGCAACUUCAACAUCCAACUACAAAUAGUUGGGAUUCCAAUUCCUUUUUGACUUCAAUCGACGUGACAACCUUGCUUUCCGGCCACAACACCUUCGAAUUCUUCAUCGGUCCUUUUCUUCUUUCAUAUGUAAAAAUUUAUGGCAUUUUUAGUUUUGAAGAAAAUGAGGAACUUGAGCCAACUUCUCUUAUAGUAUUGGUUAACAAUUUCAAUAUUUGUUGCACUAAUUUGAAAUGCGGUCUGAAUAAAAAUUAUGAUAUUUUGUUGUUUGUUGCAUUUUUUUGAAGUUUGAUUUUUAUUAUUUGUGUUUAUAAAAAACAAAAGGACAAUUUGGUUUGAUUUGUUCUGUUCUUGUUCUUGGUAAAAAUGGUGAAAUUGUUGUUUUUUGUUUAACAAAAUCGUGCUACUGUUUCCUCCGAUAGAUUACCCAUCUAGUGCAACAGAUUCAUCAUAUGAUGCAACAGAUCAACCAUCUGAUGCACCAGAGGAACUAUCAGAUUACAAUUCUGAUGCAAUAGAUUAAUAAUCUGAUGCAAUUGCUUUACCAUAUGUUGCAACAGAUUAAGCUUCGGAUAAAAAAUCUGAUGCAACUAAUUAACCAUCUGGUGCAAUGGAAGAACCAUCAAAUUAAUGAUCUGAUGCAACAGAUGAACCUCAUGUUGGAUAAAAUCCUACCAACUCUUCCUACAGGAAAAGUUCAAGACUAGAUUUUUCCAACUGAUCAUUCAUCUGUCGCGAUAAAAGACCCUAUGUUGGAAGAAAUCUAAACAAUAUUGACUGUUGAUAAUUAUUCCAACAGAUCACUCAUGUGUUGCAACAGAUGUGUGACCUGUUGUACAGACCAUUCAUCUUUCUCAAUAGAUGAGUGAUAUGCUUUGUAUUAUCAUAACAGAUUACUCAGUAUUGCUACAGAUUAUUUAACUGUUCCAACAAAUCACUCAUAUGUUGCAACAGAUGAUGUCACAACAGUUGUGUGAUCUGUUAAACAAACCAUUCAUCUAUCUUAAAAGAUAAGUGGUAUGUUUUGCAUGGUUGCAACAGAUUACUCAUCCGCUGCAACAGUUUGGUAUCUGUUGCAACAGAUAUACUACCUGGUACAAUAGAUCGGUGAUCUAUUACAACUGUUAUUUUACUGUUUUGCUUAUUUGAUUUACUGUUAUCCUUUUUUAACAAUGCAUUAAUCAACAAUAAUAUAUUAUUUUAUGUUCCUAUUAAUUUUAGAUAAUAUGAUUCCCAAAAGAACAGAAUCUGAAUCAAGUCUAAGUAAAGGAACAAGUGAAGCAGCUAGGCUACAUCCACCACUCUAUGAGCUUGCUUUACAAGCGUUAUCUCAAUCGAGAGAAGAAUAUGAUGAACAUGGGGAGGAGGAAUGUUUCAAAAGAGAUGAAGUAGAUGCUAAUAGCCCUUCCACCGAAAAGCUGCUUAAAGCCUUCAGCAUUGAUCGUUAUCCUGUGAGAAUGCAGUGCGAUGGUGUCGCAGAUUUAACGGGGGAUUUCGUGGUUAAGUCAGCCAUGGGAAAAUCUUUUGAUGCCCUCAGAAAAAUACUUCGACAAGAAAAAUAGGAUGUUUAUUUCAGGGACAGCUGCUUUGGGAAAUAUAUUGAUUUUUCGGAGGACAACAAUGCUCGUUUCCAAAUGAAAAUGGUAUAUGAACUUCUCAAGCUGUGUUUAUGUAUGAAAACAAAGAUAAGAUGGAUGAGUUGCGGAUAAAUUACUAUGGCAUGCCCAUUUUUUUUGGUUGGAAGGAGUUUGUCAUAGUCACUGGACUAAAAUGUUAUCCUCCUUCUCAAGUUAUACGUAUUCUAACCCAAAAAAAGCACCCCGCACACCCAAAAAAGGUAAAGGCAAGUCGUGUGAUCAUGAUAACCUGGUGUCCAUUGUCGGUCCAAGCUUCAAAAACAAAAAAUUGAUAGAAGCGUUGAAAGGUAAAGGACUUUCAAAGAAGCACAAGCAGUCAUUGUGCUUGGUUUGGUUUGUACAUAAUAGUCUUUAGGCGAGAGACGUUAACAAUAACAUAAGCCUCGGUUUAAUAAAGAUCUCCGAGGAUCUUGAGGUGUUUAAUAGAUAUUCAUGGGGGUAUGAAAGCUUCAAAAUGACUGUCAAAUAUUUGUUGACUCCGUUAGCGCCAAAGAUAGUCAACUUAUAUGGCUUCCCAUGGGCGUUCAGGGUAAAUGUUUCUUUCUUCUAUUAUGAUAUCAUUCAUUAUUUUCGCUCAAUAAUGGUUUUGAUUUAUUGACGUUAUUUUAUAGGCUUGGGCGUUUGAAGUCAUUCCUUAUUUGAGACAACAAGUGAACUACUGGGAAGAAGUUUCCUGUCCAAGAAUCUUGAGAUGGUUGUCGUCCAAAACUCAUAAAAAUGCAAAAUUUCUUGAUCUCUUCAACCCCCCGAAGGAUGCAGUAAGUAUAAUUAUAAUUAAUUUUUUCUUUUAAUUAAUAUUUUUUUUGAAUGAUCUAAUCAUCAUUCUAAUAUAUGUAAUGAUUUAUGUUAGAAUGUGCAUCCAUCGCUAGUUCCGACCAAUCGAGAGUUGAAGAUGUCAUUUUUUCUUACUUUACGGUAUGUACAAACUUUAUCGGACCCAAAGGUCAUCGAAAGAAUAAAAAUAGAAUUGUUUGGAGCAAUAGCCAUUACAAGAAAAUAAUUUUGGAGGGUGGGCUUGUUGUUGUUGAUGGAGCUGUUGCUGGUGGUAGUGGUGCUGCUGUUGGUGCUAAUGAUGCUACUCAUACAGUAUUUAGAUCAAACCAUUAUGAGUAUGAUCAUACUGGUUAUAUAGACUUUGCCUCUCCAGGGAAUGUUCUGCAUGCAAAUGUCAAGACUGCAGGGCGAAACAUGAUAUAGUGAUUAAUGCUAUUAAUGCAUUAAUGUAACGCCCCAAAAAGUGGGUCCCGGAGUAUCACACGGUGCUUGAGGCAACGUGUAGCCCCAAGCUAACCCUUUGAGCUAUUUUCAUUUAGUUCAACACAAAUCAAUAGGGUUUCCAUAAAUAACCCUCAAAUAUCAACAGACUAAUCAUCAUCCAAGAAUAAAAGAAUUUCAGAAAGAUAACAAAAUACGACUUAUUAGUCACCUAUCCUUGCCAUCGGAGUAGGACUAUCGAUAUCAAAUCCACACAAACUAGUGAUCACUAUAUAAAUCAGCUUCAGGCUCACUCCUACGGGGGCACGUAGUUCUAGGGAAGUAAGGUNNNNNNNNNNNNNNNNNNNNNNNNNNNNNNNNNNNNNNNNNNNNNNNNNNNNNNNNNNNNNNNNNNNNNNNNNNNNNNNNNNNNNNNNNNNNNNNNNNNNNNNNNNNNNNNNNNNNNNNNNNNNNNNNNNNNNNNNNNNNNNNNNNNNNNNNNNNNNNNNNNNNNNNNNNNNNNNNNNNNNNNNNNNNNNNNNNNNNNNNNNNNNNNNNNNNNNNNNNNNNNNNNNNNNNNNNNNNNNNNNNNNNNNNNNNNNNNNNNNNNNNNNNNNNNNNNNNNNNNNNNNNNNNNNNNNNNNNNNNNNNNNNNNNNNNNNNNNNNNNNNNNNNNNNNNNNNNNNNNNNNNNNNNNNNNNNNNNNNNNNNNNNNNNNNNNNNNNNNNNNNNNNNNNNNNNNNNNNNNNNNNNNNNNNNNNNNNNNNNNNNNNNNNNNNNNNNNNNNNNNNNNNNNNNNNNNNNNNNNNNNNNNNNNNNNNNNNNNNNNNNNNNNNNNNNNNNNNNNNNNNNNNNNNNNNNNNNNNNNNNNNNNNNNNNNNNNNNNNNNNNNNNNNNNNNNNNNNNNNNNNNNNNNNNNNNNNNNNNNNNNNNNNNNNNNGAAUCUGUCCUUUGGUGGACUGUUUUGAUAGUCUGAAGUAGAUCAACCAUAACAUUUUACUCCGUUAUUCAAAUUGGAUGAAACUAAUUUCAUUAGAAAGAGGACUCUUAUAUAUUUCUGUUGAUAUAUAGUAUAUCACUUAGAUCAUUGUGUACGAGGAGUUAUGAUCAUUUAAAGUUGACCCAAAAUUUGCUUUUGAUAGGCUGAAGUAGAUCGACCAAAACUUUUUUGCUCCGAUAGACAAAUUGGAUAAAACCAAUUUCAUUAGAAAGAGGACUCGCAGAGCUUUCCGUUGAUAUAUGGAUCACCCAGAUCAUUAUGUACAAGGAGUUAUGAUUGUUUAAAUUGGAGCAAAAAUACGUCAGGCCUCAGUACUUUUUCCUGCACGUUUCACUGUUCACUACUAUUCAUAGUUCGAUCGGAAUGUUCAUAACUCGUCGCUCGGGUGUCUGUUUUGGAUGAUCCACAUAUCUUUGGAAAGAUUAUUCAAUACUCUACACAAUGGUGGGUCAUAAUCUAUGACAUUCCUCAUGAAAAAUUUAUAAUUCAUUCUAGAAGAUAGAACCCAACACGUUUAUGCACAAAAUUCAAUGAAAAAUUUCCCGGGGUAUUACAUCAUCCCCCCCCUGGAAACAUUCAUCCUUGAAUGAUGCUAGAUAUGUCAAGAUUAGAUAGGGAAUAGAGCAUACAGCUGAAACCGUUCAUUAGACUCAUCACCACAUCGUUUCUCACUCUGAAUGCAACAUAGAAUGCAUAAAUUCAAGAAACUACAGCUGAACACAUAAUAAAUGACAGCUGAACUGCUGCUACUUUUAUGAAAAGUGCAUGAUUUAGGAAAGAACGGUACCUUCGUCUUGAUCGGAGUUCGCUGAAAAUAGGUGCGGGUACUUGGAUCGCAUACCAAGACCCUUCUGAAAAGAUUUCCAAAAUUGCGAAGUGAACUGAGUACCCCUAUUCGAAAUGAUAGACAAGGGAACUCCAUCAGUCUGACUAGCUCUCGAAUAUACAGUCUAGAGUAAUCCUCAGUUGUAUAUGAAGUAUGAACAGGCAAGAAAUGAGCAGACUUAGUCAACCUAUUAACCACAACCCAAAUGGAAUCCUGAUGGCGUCGGGAAGGAGGUAAACCAAUCAGAAAGUCCAUAUUUAUCUCUUCCCACUCCCAGGUGGGAAUACUAAACUCUUGCAUCAUACCACCAGAUCUUUGGUGUUCAACCUUAACCUAUUGGCAUGUUGCACACUUAGCUACAAAUGCUACUAUAUCUUUCUUCAUGCCAAUCCACCAAUAGACUCCCGGCAAGUCUCGGUACAUCUUGGUGGCACCAGGAUGAAUAGAAUAUCGCGCCCUGUGCGCUUAAGCCAUAAUCCUCUAUCUCAGAUCAUCAAUAUUUGGGACACACAAUCUACCCUGCAAUCCUAACACCAUCUCCCCCUUGGGAGGAAACCUCUACUUUUUGGUCCUUGACUGACUCCUUCAGUCUGACCAAACUAGCAUCUAAGUAUUGCUUUUCCUUCACUUCCAAAACCAAGGAGGAUUCGGAACUACUCUAAACCCCUAUACUACCUUUAGCAGAGUCAAACAACCUAACCCCCAAUCUAGACAAAUGAUGUACAUCACGAGCCAACUCUUUCUUACCUUCUACCACAUACGAAACACCACCCAUGGACACUCUACUUAGGGCAUCCGCCAUAAUAUUGGCCUUGCUCGGAUGGUACAGCACACUCAUAUCAUAGUCCUUUAACAAUUCUAACCAUCGUCUCUUCCUAAGAUUCAAUUCUCUCUGGGUAAACACAUACUGCAGACUCUUAUNNNNNNNNNNNNNNNNNNNNNNNNNNNNNNNNNNNNNNNNNNNNNNNNNNNNNNNNNNNNNNNNNNNNNNNNNNNNNNNNNNNNNNNNNNNNNNNNNNNNNNNNNNNNNNNNNNNNNNNNGGGUUUCAACUGUCUAGAAGCAUAAGCUAUCACCUUACCCUUCUGCAUCAAUAUGCAACCCAACCCAACUCUCGAAGCAUCAUAGUACACCAUAAAACCAUCAACACCAUCAGGCAAAGUCAAAAUAGGGGCUGAAGUGAGUCGAGUCUUCAACUCCUGAAAACUCUUCUCACAAGAUUCGGACCAUAAGAACUUUACUUUUUCUUGGGUCAACCGAGUCAUAGAAGAGCUAUUGAGGAGAAAACCUCAAUAAAACAGUGUUAAUAUCCAGCUAAACCCAAGAAACUUUGAAAAUCAGUCAGAGAAAUAGGUCUAGGCCAAUUUCUAAUAGCUUCGGUCUUUUGGGGAUCAACUCUAAUACCCUCGUAAGAAAUGAUAUGACCCAGAAAAGGAACUGAACUUAGCCAAAACUCACACUUACUAAACUUGGCAAACAACUUGUGAUCUCUAAGGGUUUGCAAGACAGUUCGGAGAUGAUCAAAAUGUUCAUCCUCACUACGGGAGUACACCGGUAUAUCAUCAAUGAACACUAUGAUAAAUAUAUCCAGAUAUGGUCUGAACACUCAAUUCAUGAGGUCCAUGAAACCUCCUGGGGCAUUAGUUAACCCAAAAGACAUAACAAGAAACUUAAAAUGGCCAUAACGAGUUCGGAAAGUGUUUUUUGGGAUGUUACACUCCCUAACUUUGAGUUGAUGAUAGCUAGAACAAAGGUCUAUCUUUGAGAAAUAACUUGCACCUUGCAAUUGGUCAAAAAAAUCAUCUAUUCUCGGAAGGGGGUACUUAUUUUCUACGGUGACUUCAUUUAGUUGGCGGUAGUCAAUGCACAUAUGCAAAGAGCCAUCUUUCUUUCUCACAAACAACACAGGAGCACCCCAAGAAGAAACACUGGGCCUUAUGAAACCCUUAUCUAGUAGAUCUUUGAGUUGCUCUUCAACUCCUUAAGUUCUACAGGGACCAUACGGUAAGGAGGAAUAGAAAUGGGCUGAGUAUCGGGAAGAAGAUCAAUCCCGAACUCUAUCUCUCUAUCAGGAGGUAUCCCUGGGAGAUCAUCCAGAAAAACAUCAAAAAACUCAUUGACGACAUUAACAGACUGGAGAGUUAGAGUCUCAGACUUAGUGUCUAUGACUCUAACCAAAUGGUAAAUACACCCAUUGGAAAUAAGCUUUCUAGCUUUGAGGUAAGAGAUAAAAUGACUCUUGGGUGACAUAGAAUUCCCAGACCACUCAAACAUGGAUACACCCAAAAACUGAAACUUGACCGCUCGGGUCUGACAAUCAAUAGAGGCAUAAGAAGAAUACAGGCAGUCCAUACCCAGAAUCACAUCAAAAUUUACCAUGUCUAACUCAAUCAGAUCAACCAACAAGACUCUAUAAAGAAUGAUAACAGGACACUUUUUAUAAACUUUCUGGGCAACAAUCGAAUCACCCACUGGGGUAGAAACUAGGAUAGGCUCAAGAAUAAUCUCAGGACUCAUUUCAAAAUUCACAACAAUCAAAGGUGUAACAUAUGAGAAACUGGAUCCAGGAUCCAACAAAGCAUACACAUCAAAUUGAAAUAUACGAAGCAUACCAGUAACAACAUCGGGAGAGUCCUCCUAGUCCUGGAGGGACGGUAAAGCAUGGAAUCUAUUCUGGUGCUGCCCACCAGCAUUGCUAGAAGAGGCGCCCUGAGUUGGGGCUGGGCGAGUCGCUGGAACUGGAGCACUAACAGUCUGAGUCUAGGCCUGAGGGCGAUAGUCACAACGCCCUUGUCCAUCCUGUGGACAAUCUCUAACUUUGUGACCCAUGUCACCACACCAAAAACAACCCUUCUUCUCACCCCAACACUCACCCGAAUGAGCCCUACCANNNNNNNNNNNNNNNNNNNNNNNNNNNNNNNNNNNNNNNNNNNNNNNNNNNNNNNNNNNNNNNNNNNNNNNNNNNNNNNNNNNNNNNNNNNNNNNNNNNNNNNNNNNNNNNNNNNNNNNNNNNNNNNNNNNNNNNNNNNNNNNNNNNNNNNNNNNNNNNNNNNNNNNNNNNNNNNNNNNNNNNNNNNNNNNNNNNNNNNNNNNNNNNNNNNNNNNNNNNNNNNNNNNNNNNNNNNNNNNNNNNNNNAAUCUGUUGGGCAUGAGUCAUCAGCCUAGAAAGAUUCAUCUCACUAUCCAGCAUAGCAGACCUACACUCCUUAACCACAUAACUAGACACUCCAGUCACAAACUUUCUCAUACUAGCUCGAUUAUCAGCCACUAAGUCAGGAGCAUACUUGGACAACUAAUUGAACUUUAGACAGUACUCUCUAACAGUCAUAGAGCCAUGUCGCAGGUUUAUAAACUCUUCCACCUUCCCCUCCCUCAUCUCCAAAGGGAAAACUUAUCCAGGAAUGCAUCCUGGAACUCUUGCCAAGUUGUAGGGACAGCUCCCUUACCUCUACCUUUCGACCAAGAAACAACCCAGUCAUAAGCAAGGUCUUUCAACCUAUACGUAUCCAACUCCACACUAUGUUCCUCAGAUACAUGCAUCACCUGAGUAAUCUUCCGCACCUCCUCUAAAAAUAACAGUGGAUCCUUAUCAGACUUGGACCCAUAAAAUUCUGGUGGAUUCAUCCGCAUGAAGUUACGGAUCCUGGCAGCAGCUGAAUCACCUCCCUGCUGCUAUGGAGCCGGGGAAGGGUUGGCCUGAACAUUUGCAGUAACUGCUUGGGCCAGCACCUGAAAGGCUGCCCGAAAUUCAGCAUGAGACAUGUUUUCAUUCAAUGGGUCAACAGGUUAAGGUUCCUGACCAUCAUUAUUUCUUCUCGCUCGAUGUGGAGGCGAUAGACUUCAGAAAGAAAGAAUCACACUUUUUCCUAAAACAUCUUGUAGCCUCUUGCUCAUAGAUGUAGCGCGCUACACACCAAUGAUCAAGACUCUACUUAACACAGCUUGUCAGACUCUCUAGGACACCUUAAAACCUUAGGCUCUGAUACCAAGUUUGUAACGCCCCAGAAAAUGGGUCCCGGAGCGUCACACGGUGCUUAAGGCUAUGAUUAGCCCCAAGCUAACCCUUUGAGCCAUUUUCAUUCAGUUCAACACAAAUCAAUAGGGUUUCCAUAAAUAACUCUCAAAUAUCAACAGAGUAAUCAUCAUCCAAGAAUAAAAGAAUUUCAGAAAGAUAAUAAAAUACGACUUAUUAGUCAACUCCCAACAUCUAUAUUAGUCUAACAAGCCUCUAAGAAAAUCAAUAAAACCAGCGAUCCAUUGAGACAUGCCCCAACUAACUCAUACUCAGUUAUCAAAUAUAAACAAUUCCAUGAAACCAACAUUAGACAUCACGUCCUCGGAACAUAAGGACUCACCAUAACAAAGGAUGUAGAACAGCAUGCCCAAAGAAUCACUGUCGAACCUGGAACUGAGCACCUGAACCUACACUCUGAGAAAAUGUAGCCCACAUCCGAAGAUGUGGGUCAGUACCAUGGAAAUGAACCGAGUAUAUGGGGGUGUAUACAGUUGUAUAAACAUCAUCAUCAUAAAUAUUUAUAAGAAAUAUCAAGAAUGUAUGAAAAAUUCACAUAGCCCGAAGAAAAUCAUCAUAAUCAUGAGAGGAUGAAAUAACUACAAUAACACAUGUGAGUCAUCAUAUAAUUUGUCAAUCACUUUCAGUUCAUCAAGAAUAUCAAUUCUCAAAAUGUAAAUAUCAUUUAAAUCUUUUGAAAGAAUAACUUUCACAAUUCCNNNNNNNNNNNNNNNNNNNNNNNNNNNNNNNNNNNNNNNNNNNNNNNNNNNNNNNNNNNNNNNNNNNNNNNNNNNNNNNNNNNNNNNNNNNNNNNNNNNNNNNNNNNNNNNNNNNNNNNNNNNNNNNNNNNNNNNNNNNNNNNNNNNNNNNNNNNNNNNNNNNNNNNNNNNNNNNNNNNNNNNNNNNNNNNNNNNNNNNNNNNNNNNNNNNNNNNNNNNNNNNNNNNNNNNNNNNNNNNNNNNNNNNNNNNNNNNNNNNNNNNNNNNNNNNNNNNNNNNNNNNNNNNNNNNNNNNNNNNNNNNNNNNNNNNNNNNNNNNNNNNNNNNNNNNNNNNNNNNNNNNNNNNNNNNNNNNNNNNNNNNNNNNNNNNNNNNNNNNNNNNNNNNNNNNNNNNNNNNNNNNNNNNNNNNNNNNNNNNNNNNNNNNNNNNNNNNNNNNNNNNNNNNNNNNNNNNNNNNNNNNNNNNNNNNNNNNNNNNNNNNNNNNNNNNNNNNNNNNNNNNNNNNNNNNNNNNNNNNNNNNNNNNNNNNNNNNNNNNNNNNNNNNNNNNNNNNNNNNNNNNNNNNNNNNNNNNNNNNNNNNNNNNNNNNNNNNNNNNNNNNNNNNNNNNNNNNNNNNNNNNNNNNNNNNNNNNNNNNNNNNNNNNNNNNNNNNNNNNNNNNNNNNNNNNNNNNNNNNNNNNNNNNNNNNNNNNNNNNNNNNCUUUGUAAAGAAAAUUACUUUUGGGCACAAGAACGAAAGAAAGUUCUUGUUGAAAAACCCCACAUACCUUGAAUGAUGAACUUUAGAUCGAUACUCAUUUUUGAGAUGUUAAUCGUGCCUUUGAAUGAUAGUUCUUAGAGUUAUUGAACUAGGAACUUGGAAUCUUGAAUAAAUUUGCAGAAUUAAUGGUGAACUUUGGAGGUUCUUGAAGUUGGAUGUAGCAGCUUAGGGUUUUCUUUUUGAGGGAAGUUGAUGAAAUAUAACAAAUAAUGCUUCUAAUAGGCUUUAAAUUAUCAAAAAGAUAUAUACAUCUGUUGCAACAGUUGACUAACCUGUUGCACCAGAUACUUUAUCUGGUGCAACAUAUGUCUCAUCUGUAUGUACCAACAGAUGACCUAUCUUCUGAAAUAGAUGAUUCAUAUGUUGCAACGGAUGGUUCAUCCAUUGGAAAUUAUCACACAGGGUCUUCCUCAUGUAGAAAUUUGUCCCAACAGUUGAUUCAUUGUUGCAACAAAAAUAUAAUAUGGUUGGGAUAAUUUAAAAUAGAAGGAAGACCUGUUUGAUUUGCUAGAAGAGAUGAGUUAUCCUUUUCCAUUUUGUUGUAUCUUCUUCAGUCAUUUGAUUCAUCUGAUUCACUAUCUAUCAUUAUCUAUUUUAUUUUCCAAAAUUUGAUAUAUACUAUCUUCACUUUCUAAUUCGUAAUCUAUAUAAUCUAUUUGUAUAUAUUUUGCCUUUUCUCUCUUUAUUUCUGAUAUUUGUUUCUUUUUUGGGUCUUUAGGUAAUUUACAAUCUCUAGCGAAAUGUCCUAGUCUUACACAAUUAUAACAAGUACAUACUUUUAUAGAUUUAUUUUUUCUAUAUGGUCUUUUAUAUUUAUAAUUUUUUUCAUAAUAUCUUGUUCUUGGUUUCUUAUACUUAUAUUGUGACUUUCUGUACUUCUUAUAUUUCUUAUGUCUUUUUCUUUUCGCAUAAUAUUUUUCUUCAGAUCCAAAUUGGGGUGCUAUUUUAUCCUUGCAACAUGCUAAAUUUCUUAUUAAUGUUUUUUUCCAUUUUUGUUUCUUCUCUGUAUUUUUCUCAUAUAUUCCUAUACCAUUGUUGUAGAAAUUUUAUUCUUGCUCCUAGGGUAUCUACUAUUUUUUCUUCAUCCCAUUUUGAACUAAAUGUGUCACGUAUUUUACUAAAAUAUAAUCUUCUUACUUCUUUACUUUCUUCUGUAUUGUAUGUUCCCUAAUAGUAGUAUUCUUUAAAUGCACACGUAUAUUCAUCUAUAUAGCACAUAUUACAUAUUGCUAGUUUUAACAUUAAAUUCUUAUUUAUAUCUUUUUCAUUGGUUUGUUCUUCUUCUUCUAAUUUCAUACUGCUAAAUUCAUCUCUUAUAGCUAUUUCAUAUUUUUUCAAUAUGUCUAUAGGUGUUAGUUUAAUUACUGUUGUUCCUUUCAUUUUUUUAUCAGCCCUUAAUACCUUUUUACUCUCUUCAGUUAAAUUAAAAAAUUAUAAUUUUGUUGUUCCUAUUAGGGGUGCGGUGAAGUAAUAAAUAUUUAUUUAUCGUUAAUAAAAAAAAUAUUGACUUGUGUCUAAGUAUGAAGUGGUCUUUGUUGGAGAGAACGUUUACUCCAAUGUGAGAUUUUUCCACAAAAAUCUAGAUUUAAUCAAAUCUCAUUACAAAAUAGUGAAUACAGUACUAAAACCAAAACAAUAUGUGAAGUGGUUAGCACUAAUUCAAUAGUUGGCUGUCAACUGUCAAUUAUGAAGCAAUAAUGACACUUCAUGUGAUGAUUUAAUUGAUCAUUAUCCAAAUUAACUAGUACUCCAUUUAAAAUUAGUGUUGCUUCGGUAAAAAACUUGUUUCACAAUAGAUGUCUUUUUCAAGAUUCAAGCCAAAAAUAGUAAUUAUUUUUAACUUUAUUCUUAUACUUCUACAAAGAAUUAUUGUUUAAUAGUGGUUAACUUUCGAGAAGUAUCUAACAAAUAAGGUUGAUAAUUUAGUAAAUUAUACUUUGUAUUUGUUAAUUUUUUUAAUGGGUAUGAAAUGAGUUAAAGUGACGCUUAGGACCCAUGUGAUCAUAGAUACACCAAGUAGUUUUUGGUAAAAAAAAAAAUUGACAAAAGUGUUUGGUCAUACAAUUUGUUUUGACAAAUAACUGAAAUUUCUUAAAAAAAAAAAUAGUUUUCGAGUCAAAUUCUAUUAUUUGAAAACUUUUAAAAACUCGAACUUUAGCCCAAAUUUUUGUAUUUUAUAAAAGUACCAUCACCGUUAAUUAAUUCCAACUAAUAUCUAUUUGUCAAUCAACCCCAUUAAUAAACCUUGGUAUUUGACUCAAGUAUGUAAUAAUAUUGUUACAUAGGACUUGUUAAAAGUAACGUCAGUAGAAAAAGUGGAUGCAUGUUUGUGAAUUGAGAAAACUUCGAUAGCUUCUACUAGAUAUGUGAAAUUGUUUAUAAGCAAGUUGGAGCUUAUAAUUUAUGAGUUUAAUUUUUAGCAUGGAACAUGUUCAUUAUAAAAUGACACUACAAAGUUAUAUAUAAUUUUAAUAGUUUUUAUAAUUUAUGAAUAUAAAUCAUAUUUCUAAAAAAAAGUCAAAUAUUUUUUUCAGAAACUAUGAUCAAACACAUAGGAAAACAUUUCUCAAAAUAAUUUGAGAUGAGGUAAUCAAAUGAAAAAUAAAAAAUAGUCAAAUGAAAAAUAAAAAAUAGUCAAAUAGGAUCUCCUUUUCUUCCUUUUUUGUUGUAAUUUGCUGUAGUAGGUAGUCAUCACCACCAUUUAGGAACUCCUACCUCUUUAGUGAAAAGAUGGUAGUGCAAAUGUACCUAUGUGGUGUAUUGGACGUGAAAUUUAUGAAAUAAAUGAAACUUUUGAAACAUACAUGUGAUUCAAACUAAAACAAUGCAAGUUAUAAAUAUUUAUGUGAUCUAAAUAAUCCAUUAAGAACAAAAUGAAAAGUUUCAAAUCAAAGUUUCUAAAAGGAAGGAGAGCAUUGGUACUUUAGGUCUCUUGCUAUUUGUUCAAGUUUUUAUGUAUUUCUACAACAGAUUUUCCAUAUUUACACAUCAAGGAUCUUCAUUUUACACAUAUAAGAGAUCUAAAAUGGUCAUGAUGGAGAAAUUAAUACUGUAAAUUAGAUCACAUACGGAGAGGGGCAUAACCAAAAACCUCAGAGGGAAGCUCACAUCAAGCUUAUUUAGAACUAAGAAGUAGGUUGUUGGAGCACAGUAACACCUAAAUAUGAUCAGGGUUUGGGUUCUCUUGAUUUUGUGUUAGUACUCAAUAUUUCUGGCAAAGUGUGUGCGUAUAUGAUAACAUUUCCUAUACAUUUCUUUCCCUUAUCUUUAAGAUGAUGAUUUACUUAAAUUAUAUGUGCUUGCAGUACUUAUUGAUUUAAUUUGCUCAUUUUUUGUGUUGAGUAUUUUAAGGAUCAAAUUUUGAGGUAAAUAAUCUAAAUCAUUCAAAAAUACUCCGACCAGAGAUAACUUUAGCUAGUGCUUUAUUUUAUUAUGAAUAUCAAUUCUCUUCUUGUAAAAUCAGGUUUGAUACUUCCCAUGUAUAAUUGAUUGAAACCAACUACGUUACUGAUUACAAAAUGGCAUAACAAAGAAGACGUGUUAAUGUGAGAAGUAGUAGUUAGUAAAUUAAUUAACUAUUUGACUGCCAACAGUAUAUUACAAAACACCAAUUAAUGAAACUUCACAUAAUGACCUAAAUCAUUUAAUCUAUCGUUAGCCAAAGUAACUAUAUUUGAAACUGUGAGAGUAUACAGGAAUACUACAUUUAAAUGUAGUUAUAUCAUAGUAAAAGCUCGUGACAAUAACCGCGGAAUGCGAAAAACUACUUUGGGUAAUGAUAUAAUGGAUGACGUAACAUUAAAAGAAUGAUAUAAUGGAUGAAGAAACCACUAAAAUACUCUCUUCGUUAAUGUUUUAAUUUUAAGAGUCAAACUACAUAAUUGUUGACCAUCAUUUUAAGAUAUAUAUUUUUCUUCAUAUUGAUGUGAUAAAAAAUCAUAACUUAAUUAUUGGAAUAUUUUUGUAUAGCUUUUUAAUAUUUAUAAAUAUACGAUUAAAAUAUUGAGUAAAUUAAACAUGGUGUUAACGAUUUAAUAACUAUUUUUGUAGCUCCGUAUUUGAGUUUAUGCUCCUACCUAUUAUUUGAAUAUAUCAAGAAAGAUGUAUGGUUCAAUGAGGCUACUGUGAAAUAUUUACUCAUGGAUGGGGCAAGCUCUUCUAUUCUGGUUUAUGGUUUCUCUUGGUUAUAUGUUUCAUCCGGGGGCGAGAUUAAGCUUCAAGAAAUAGUAAACGGUCUUAUCAAUAUAUAAAUGUAUAACUUCCCAGGAAUUUCAGUUGCGAUCGUAUUCAUUACCUUAAGAUAUGGGUUCAAGCUUUCUCCAGCUCAUUCUCAUCAAUGGACUCCUGACGUAUUAGUUUCAAUGAUUAAUCAAAUUCAUUGUUGACCAGAUUAGUUAAAUUCAAUUGUGACCCAAUAUUAAUUCUUGAUUUCUCGUAUGCUUUGACGUCCAGGCUCGAAGUGAUAAAAAAUCCAUUAAGAAUGAAUCCAUCACAAUAAAAUUAAUUAUAUUUGAACAUAAAGAUAUCAAGUACUCCCUUUAUCUCAGUUUAUAUGAGUUGUUUUCCUUCUUAUUUAGUUUUAAAAAGAAUGAUAUAUUUUUAUAUCUAGUUUUAACUUUAAAAUAUCUAUUUUGCCCUAAAUGAAAUAAUUUAUAGUCACGUAAAUAUUUGGGACUUAUUUUAAACCACAAGAUUUUACAGUCUUCUUUUAUAAAAAAAAAAAUUGUGUUGAGUCCAAACUAACUCAUAAUUGGGACGAAGAAAGUAGCUUAAUUCGUAAAAUUGAAAUCUUUUUACAAACCUCCUUAAAUUUAUUUAUAUUGCAAGUGUGGAAGUAGUGAAAGGCCAUUUAUAAAUUAAGUUUUUAGUGUGGACAGAGGACUUCAGCAACUAUAUAAUUUUAAAAUAAAGAGUGUUUACUAACUUAUUCUUGAAAGAUACUUUGAAAAAGAUGUAAAGCAUAAUUUCAUGAUUGUGUAAUUGUGGAAGAACAUAUAUCGUAAUCGGUUGUUUGACAAGAAAAUGGGAUAAGUAGGGAUAUCUCAUUGGACUAUUUUAUCUCAUUUUUCAUAUAGAAUAGUAAUCCUCUCCCAAAAUUAGCUAAUACCUCAUAUAUAAUAUAAGAUAAAACUCAUCUCAAAAUUUAUCAUGGAAUUAUUACGCGUAUCCAACCUAUCAAAUAAUCUAUUCAUGAAUUAAUUGAUUAUGUAAAUCUCUACUUAGAUAAAAAAAAAAAAAAAAACACGAUUUAUUAGCAACUAAGGAAUAUAGAUGAAAAUAGUCAAAUGAAGAAACAGAUAGUCAAAUAAAAUUCAAAAAGGGUUAAUAAUUAGAUUACGUGGAUCCAAAUAGCAGCUGUGACGCUACCACUACAUUGACAAAAGUUUGACGCAAGUAUUUUACUUGUAACUACCUACAUAUUCCACUGUCUUGUGUCUCCACUUACUCACACACACACACACACCACACCACACACACCACACACACACCACCACUCAUACACCGCAAACCAACACCCAUUGACACCAUGCAUCGAACUAGUGCCCUCAGAUCAUCUGCUGCACCCGCAGCAAGUGGAUCCAGCAGUGGUGGAUCAGGGAUGCCUCCAAGGCAUUCAUGUAAUCGUAGAAAAAAAAGGCAAAAAUGGAUUUUGCAAAGUUGAUAGCUGAAAAUACGAUAUUCAUUAUAUCAACGAGCAAAUGUUACAUGUAAUUCUUAGUGAAGAGCUUGUUGGUGUUAUUGGGAGUUAACCCAAUAGUUUUUAAGGUGGAAGAGGAGGAGAAAAGCUCUGUGUUGAUGAAGCUAUCAAAGAUGAAUGAAGGUUUCAACAGUAGUACUGGAGGACCGUGGGAUUUACCAGCAGUGUAUAAAGGAGGAAAGUACUUAAGAGGUUUUGAUAAAGUGAUGGAGAGUCAUGUAAAGGGUGAAUUAGUUCCCAUGCUUAAGAAAGCUGGAGCUUUAUGGCUUUGAAUUAACUAGCUACUCCAUUGUUCUAUUUUUUUUUUUGUUGUUUUAGUUUUCUUUUUAUAUGGUGUAAUUUACAGUAAAAGUAUACAGUUGGUUAUAUUGUGGUAUUAGACGUGAAAAUUAUGAAUAAAAUGAAACUCUUGAAACUGUGAUUCUAAAUCAUUUCCAAACAAAAUGAAAUGUUUCAAGUGAAGUACAAUUUCUAAAAAAAGAAGUAUGACACUUUUGCUUGUUUAAUUCAGAAAAUCUAAGAGAUCAUUUAUCAGUUUGUUUUCAAUUUACUCUUUUUUGUUUCCUGUAAAUCAUUUUUCAACAGUAAACUAUUAUAUUAAAAGUGUGAUAUACUAAAAUUAUAAUUCUAUUUGUUGAUCAUUCAGGCCUGCCAAGUUAAUAUUGGACAAAUAAAAUAAUGAACUAAAGAAUUAUUCUUCAAAACAAAUUUAAAAAGAAAAGUAUGAUGCAUGAACUGUGACCAAGGAAGUACUAAUAGAUAAGUUUACACAUUCUGCCACUGAUUUCAGUUUAUGUUGAAUUGCACUAGCUUUCCUUUAGUUUAUACUCGUCUUUUAGAAUAACCACACCCGUAAAUUUUUACUGAUUUCAUUGCGUAAUGAAGGAAAUUUCAGUAUUAGCAUUAAAAUUGUAAUGUAUUAUAUCCUUGUAUUAACCGAAAUUCAUCUAAGGAAUUGAUACAUGCAGUUUUAGAAUUACUUUAAGUUACUUUAUUUGUGUUUACUGCACUUUUUCUUUGUUUUGCUCAUAUUUGUGUUUUGUUUUUAAGUGUCAAUUAUUCAGAUAAACAACAAAAAUCAUUCAAGAUUAUUAUUACCAGAAAUAGUUUUAACUAAUGCCUUUUUUAUCAUGAAUAUCGAAACAGUCAUCUGUUCAAAUCGAGUUUGAUAGUUCCAUGUAUAAUUGGUUAAAUAUAACAUGUGACACAAUUACACAUCGUAAACAAAGCAACUACAUACCGAUCAUAAAACGUCUUAGGUAAGAUGUGAAUAUGUGAGAGGUAGUUAACGAAAUAAAAUUGAGAUAGAGUAGUAAAUAUUUUUUUAUCAUUUAUCAAAACUUUUGACUCGAUCGUGUUUAGGUAUGAACUGGUCUCUGUUAGGGAGAGUUUACUCCUACAUGGGUUUUUUCGACAAGAAUCUAAAUUUAAUUAAAUCUCAAUACAAAAUACUCCCUCCUUUCCAAAAUAAAUAAAUUGUUGAGCUAUUUUUCAAUGUUCAAAAUAAAUAAAUUAUUCAUUCUUCAAGAGACAUGUUGGACAUUUCUUCCAAUUUUACCCUUUAAUUUAAUGAAGUUUUUAAAUCUUUACAUUCUUCUAGGAGAGUAAUUUAAGAACAAUUAAAAGGGUUAUAGUGGAAAAUAACCUACAAUUUAUAUCAUAAAAGUUUUUUCUUAAGGGGUGUACUGUACCCCAACAAUUCAAUUAUUUUUGAAUGAAGGGAGUAGUGAACAGGGGACUAAAACCAAAAUAAUAUGUGAAGUAGUUUGCAUUAACUCAAUAGUUGGUCGUCAACUGUCAAUUAUGAAGCAGUAAUGACACUUCAUGUGAUGAUUUAAUUGAUCACUAUCCAAAUUAACUAGUACUCGAUUUUAAAUUAGUGUUGCUUUGGUUAACAAAAAAUCUCAAAAGAGAUGUCUUCUUAAAGAUUCAAGAAAAAAUAGUAAUUAUUUUUAACUUUAUUCUUAUAUUCUUUUACUUUUUAAUAGUGUUUAAUUAUGAAGAAAUAUUUAACUUAUAAGAUCGAUAAUUUAGUAAAUUAUACUUUUUAUUUAUUAUUUUUCUUAAUGGAUAUGAAGUGAGUUAAAGUGACACUUAGGACUCAUUUGGUCAUAGAUAUUUUUCAAGUAGUUUUUGAAGAAAAAUUUGGUAAAAAAUAUUUGGCCAUACAAUUUUUCAUUAGUUGACAAAUAAUUAAAAUUUCCAAAAAAACUAGAAAGAAUUAGUUUUUGGGUCAAAUUCUGUUAUUUGAAAACUUUUAAAAACUUAAUCUUUAGCCAAAACUUGUAUAUUUAAUAAAAGUCCCCACCAUUUAUUAAUUCAACUAAUAUCUAUUUGUCAAACAAAUUCAUUAAUAAGUCUUGUUGUUUGACUCAAGUAUAUAAUAGUAUUGUUACAUAGGACUUGUUAAAAGUAAUGUAAGUUAAAAAGGUGGAUACUUCUUCGUGAAUUGAGAAAACUUCGAUAACUUCUACACUGAUGUGUAAAAUUGUUUAUAAGCAGGUUGAAACUUAUAAUUUAUGAGUUUAAUUUUAUAGAACAUGUUCAUUAUAAAAUGAUGAUACAAAAGUUAUAGAUAAUUUUAAUUGUUUUAGAACUUAUGAAUAUAAAUCAUAUUUCUAAAAAAAGUCAAAAAAAUUCAAAAACUAUGGUCAAAAACAUAGUAAAAUUUUACUCAAAAGUAAUUAGAGAUGAGGUAGUCAAAUGAAAAAUAAAAAAUAGUCAAAUAAAAUUCAAAAAUGGUCAAGGUAUAUUUUUUUUAUUUCAAUUUAUUUGACCUACUUUUUCUUAGUAAGCUAAAAAAGAAUGACUCUUUCAUUAUUUGUUAUGAACCCUUUAAUUUCAAUUUUCUAGAUAACUUAUUUAAGAUCAGAAUUAUUUUAUACAUUUAACAUAUCUUUAAUUUAUAUUUAAAAAAAAUAAUAUUUUCAUAAAAUUCAUAUCAAUCGACACAGAUCAAUCAAUUUAAAACAGAUUACGUUGAUCCAAAUAGUAGUUGUAAGGCACGUCACAAUAGUUGACUUUAGUCUCCCUCUUGUAACUUCCCAGCCCUAUAUAAUAGCACACUCCCUGCGUCUCUACUCCCCAUUCUACCAAAGCCUCAUUUGAUAUCAUGGUUGGAAUUCGAAAUUCUUCCAGGCGAACUACCUUCCCAUCGUCCCCCAUCGCCUCGACCGGCAGCUCCACUAUGCAGCCACUGCGUACGGAACAAAGGAACAACAAUACAAGGAACACUCUGGCUGAGAUAAUAGAAAAAAAUGCAGUGAUUAUUGUAGCCAGGUUCCAGUGCUACAUGUGCUUUAUGCUGCAAACAUUAAUGGAAAGUUUGGGCGCCACUAAUUACACCGUUAUACAAGGGGAGGAGGUGGAGGAAGCUCACAUGUUGGUGGAGCUCUCAAAGCUUGAGGAGGGCAGCAGCAGCAGCAAUAGCAAUGGCAGAGGACCGCGGAGUUUGCCUGCGGUAUACAUAGGAGGGAAGUUUGUGGGAGGCGUUGAUGAAGUUUUAACGGCUCAUGCUAAGUGUGAAUUAGUUCCUAUGCUUAGGGCAGCUGGAGCCAUAUGACUUUGAAUUCUGAAUUAAUAAUAAUAUAUAGAGGAGGAGGAACUAGGAUAUCUCCUUUUCUUGUUUUCUUUUAUGUAAUUUGCAGUAGUAACUACUCAUCGC